AGAGGAGAGAGCAUGUUGGAAUGUAAGCACAUGACCCAAAGAACAUCGACGAACCUCACUCUUCGUCAGAUUCACCUGCAUUAUUGAUUGCAGCCACUACGUGGUCAAUACAUUUGAAUGUAUUGGCAAGUUCACCUGGAAGUUAUAACAAAUCCUACCAAGUAUAUGCAAUUGAGGUAUAGUGGGGUUCAGGCUUUAUGGCGUAAUAGCAAAACAUAGUUUAUCCUACUACAACUGAAUGUUACAUUAUUGUUAACUAAUGGACACCGGGUAGAAACACCGAUGCUCUUAUUAAUCUAAGGACAUCGAGUAGAUACAUCAAUGCUCCUAAACCCAAGUUCAAACGAUUCAUUUUAUUUAAAAAGUUGGAAUGAGUGAGACUUUCCUUACAGCCCCCAUAUCUAGUUGCUAAUAAUUGUCCGUAACCGGGGACACGGCUAAGUACUUAGUUUGACACUCUCUUGAGGUGGUACACUUUACCCACAAGAAACCGACGUGUUGAUCCCUUGCUGUCCUCAGGGUAGAGUAGCAACGGCAUCGAUUACAGGAAUUUUCAGAACAUAAUCCCCCAGACCACCUGAGGGACGCGCUCCCACCUACACGGCUACAUACCGAUGUCAUCCUCGAAUCCGGGUUCAUAUUUCUUACAUCCAUCUUGGCAGAGCCCAUAUUACCAUGUGGUUGUACUGGAAGCUACUAAACAGGAAAACUAGUCCAGUCUCUGGAUACCCCGGAAGGCAUUCCACAUUUGCGACGCAAGCGCUCCCCGAAUUCACGGGGAGACGUCCAUGGACGACCCGCCCCCGAAUCCAUGGGGACUCAACUCAGAGGGACCCAUAGAAAUGGACUUGACGUUGCAUAACAUCUCGAAUCCUCAAAGCCGUCCACCCAGGAUGGUUCAUUUGGGUUGUUUUGCCAAGUUUCCAAAAUUACUUCACAUAAUUAGUCUCACAGUGAUUGAGAUUCCCUCCCAUGUAUACUAACAUAGCAUGGCUAAGCAAUAUCUAAUCACGAUGGCUAUUGGUUGAGGAUUCAUGGCAAAGGUAACCCUAUAGCUAGUAGGUCAAUCAUAGCUAGCAUAAGUACGAGUAAUAGUCCUAUCAAUGCAUUUCUACAAACAAAUCUAAUGCAUAAAUAUUUAAGAAAAACAAACAGUAAUAGGAUAUGAUCAAAGUGAACUUGCCUUGGUAGCAGUUGGAGUUUAAACACUCGUCACAAUCACAAGGUUCGCUCUCCGAGUAAACUAAAACAAACAAGCAUACACACACAUAAACACAAAUUCACAUCAUGACAAAAGAAAGUAUGCUAUGAUGCGAUGCAAGCAUGUGACAAGAUUGGGUUUAUUUUAUUCGGGUGAUCAACUGAUCCAAAGCAUUAGCAAUUAAAACAAAUGCAUUAGGGUUUCAAACAAAAGGCAAAAACAAUUGAUUAAAAUCCUAAAUUAUUGUCUCAUUGGCAUCAGCCAAAUAAGUUAAUUCAAAAUAUUUAUUUCUCUGUCCCAAUGGACAGAGGAUAAUAAAACAAAAUUUUGGGCACUGGUUUCAAUUAAAAAGGAUUUCUAAAUAAUUAGUUAUGAAUUAAAUGGCAUUAAACCCUAUUCUGUAAAUUGACUGUGAUUCAAAUAUUCAAAUUUAAAUUUAAACAGUGCCAAAAGAUUCUACAUGUUGGAGCUUUCCAGAAAGGUAAAAUUUGUCAAAUUUGGCCGAAGGGUUUAAAAGUUAUUAGCAUUUGAAGUUCUAAGAGCUUUUCUGCAAAAGUGCCAUUUAAUUUAAACCGGGAUUAAGUUUUUAUUAAAAACCGUGACACAUGGCAGCCUCUGGUUGGACGAUACCGGUUCGGGAUUUCAAUUAAAUCGCAUCCGUCGGAUCUAACUAAAACACAAGGACGGCCCAGAUUUGCCCGUACCGGUUCGUUUAAAUGAUCUAAUCGCGGCCGUCCGAGCAAGAUCUAAUGGCAGAGGCUCGUCGGGCUUACCUCCGGUGAGGGCGGCGCGACGAGGCGGAUCCGAUGACGGCGACGAAAACCUCCGGGAGCGCACGAGGCAACGCCUAGGACGACAAUGGCGACGGCGGCGCGAGCUAGCUCCGGUCGGGCGACGGCGGUAGCCUGCGAUGGACGAAACGCGAAGUGGCGUGCAUUAAAAUGCGCGCAAUCAAGAAGUAGAAGAAGAGAGGGCAGCAGAUGGGAGUACGGACCUCGGUUCAUCGGCAACGACCAAGCGAAGGCGGUGGCGGCUCUAGGGUUCCGGCGAGAAAUUUCAUCGGCCUGGGGGCGUGAUUGCGAGGGAGGUCAGAGGGGAAGGAUGGAGAGGGUCGCGGCCUUUAAAAGGACGCGCUCGGGCUGUGGUUUAAGGGACGGAGCGAGGAGAUCUCGGCGGAGACGUCGUGGUGGCGAACAUGCCAGGCUCGCGCGUCGCGGCGGAGAUCCGGGGAAGACGAUGAUGGCGCGUGGGCCCUGCGGGUCAGCGGCUCGGGCGCGGGCGCUGCGGGCGGGGCUGGUUCGGCUCGGUCGGGCCGGCGGGGCUGGGCCGGUUUGGCCCAAUUCGGCCAGGCCGGUCCGUUUCUUCUUCUUUUUUUUUCCUUUUAGCCUUUUCUCUUUUUCUUUUUCUGAUUUCUUUGAUAUCUUUUAUUUUGAACUCUAAAUUGAUCCAAAUAAAUUUCAGAAAAUUUGUAAAAUCAUGUUUUAUCAUGAUUCAACUUUUGGGAGUAACUUCCCCUCAAAAUAAAAUAUAUAAAAAUACAUUUGCCCUAUAAAUGCCUUUAGGGCUAUAUAACUAUUUAAAUAAAAUAGUUUUUCAACUCCAAAUAAUUAUCCAAAAAUUAUGGGAUAGCUUAUUUAUGCAAUAAACCCCAUUUAUAGAUAAACCCUAUUGGUUUUAAGAUCCAAAGCUCAAAUGGGUGAAACCCUAGGGUUUAAAAUGAAAUAAAACCUUUUUAAAGCCUUUUGAGAUUCAAAUUUGAAUUCAAAUAUGCAAUUGUGGCAUGAUGCUCAUGGAUGCAAUGCAUAUGAAAGGUUUUGAAUUUUUGGGAUGUUACACGUUCUCUCUGCUCUUGGAGCACCUCAUUGAGAGCCGUGGCAAGGACGCGGUGGCUGUGCACCCUCCAGCGACACACGCGGAGGCAUGCACCGCCACCACGUCUUCGCGACGCCUCUCGCCUCUUGCACCGCCAUUUUUGGUGUCCUUUCGUAAGAGAUAUGGCAAGGCCACGAUGGUGGGAACACCCUCAGCGACAAGCGCAGAGGGAUGCACCACCAUCGCCUCUCUGCGACAUCUCUUGCUUUCUUGCCCGUUGCCGGUGUUGCGCUUGCUCCGGUCUUUAAAUAGCCAAAGCGCUGCCCUUGCCGCCACACGCACGGAACCGCCGGUUGACGCGUGGAGGCACUGGCCCUGUCUCAGAGUGCUGCAUCAAGCCUCGAAGUAAUUGCCAUAUACGUACGGCUUACCCGCAAGACGACGACACCCGUGACUGCUCCACGAGCGCCAUAGUGCGCCUUCGUCCCCGCUUUUAUCCUGCAUGUUAGAUCUUUGCAAUGCCCGAUUUUUUUUUUGAAAUGCACGAAAAAGACAACACUGAUUGGAUAACCUCCUGCUUCCCAGCCCCCGGGCACCGAAGAGUCAACCUCAGGUUUGGGUGUGAGCAUCUUCUCUAUUCCAUGGUGCCACGCUGGCACGCAGCAUGUUGUGAACGGGUUCACCAACUGCUGGACCUCGUUCCGGGGCAGCCCGGGAACGACCUUGGUUUUCGGGGUUCCGGCAGCCCCCUGCUCACAGCCAAGGAUGAGGAGGCAAUUCUGUGCACCUAGAGUAGGAGACAGAAGCACACAUUAAUAGUAAAACACAAUAGUUACUCAAGCAACACUUAUCUUUAUUCAACUUUGUGCUAGUGGAUUACAAUCGGGCCUUACCCGGCUACACUAGCUUAAAGAGGCACGCUGCCGCAGCGUCACCCGUGGGUAAGGCACCACCGUUUCAUGGGUAGAAAAUGCACAGGUGCUCAAUGUUUCAACUAUUGGGCACCGGCAAGCCUUCUUCGGUUUCCAGCCGGACAACCCCCGGUCUGGUCACCUGCACUACCCGGAAAGGGCCUUCCCAGUCUGGAGUCAACUUGUUCCCGGCCUUCGUUCCUUGUGUCCGGCGCAGGACGAGGUCUCCAACCUCGAGCCCCCGGGGACGGACUCUCCUGUCGUGAUAACGACGGAGCCUCUGCUGGUAGCCUGUAGCUCGCACAGCAGCCUGGCAUCGAAUCUCCUCGAUGAAGGUAAGGUCAUCAAUCCUCUGCGCGUGUUGGCUCUGGUCGCCGUACGCGCGUACCCGAGGUGACCCAUGCUUGAGCUCGAGGGGCAGCACAGCUUCUGCCCCGUAGACGAGGGCAAACGGAGUUUGGCCCGUCGCCCGACUUUGUGUAGUCCGUAUCGACCACAUCAUGGGCUAGAGUUCUUCAACCCAGUGUUUCCCGUGGCCCUUGAGCUUGUCAAAGUUUCUCGUUUUGAGCCCCCACAGUACUUCUGCGUUGGCUCGCUCCACUUGCCUGUUGCUCCUCGGAUGAACGACGGAGGCAAAGUGAAUUUUGGUGCCCAUGUCCUCGCUGUAAGCUUGGAACACUGCACUAGUGAAUUGUGUGCCAUUAUCGGUGAUGUGCCGUUAGGCACACCAAACCGGCACACAAUGUCCUUGAAAAACUUGAUGGCCGCCUGUGCCGUGAUAGCUCGAACAGGCUCCACCUCGAUCCACUUCGAGAACUCGUCGAUGGCCAUGAGUAGGUACUCGUAGCCGCCAACUGCUCUUGGUAAUUUCUCGACGAUGUCCAGCCCCCAGACCGCGAUAGGCCACGAGGACGGGAUAACUUGUAGGGCUUGCGCUGGCUGGUUGCUCUUCUUGGCGUGAAACUGGCACGCUUCACAGGUCUCGACUAGUUGCUCGGCAUCGGCUAAUGCUGUUGGCCAGUAGAAGCCAUGCCGGAAUGCUUUCCCAGCUAGCACCCUGGAGGCCACAUGGUGCGAGCAUGUGCCUCGAUGGAUAUCCUCCAGCAGCGUGCGCCCUUCUUCCUGGGCACGCAGAGGAGCAUAACUCCGUUAGGACGCCUCCGGUAGAAAUCCCUAUCCACCAGAGCGUACAUUUUAGCUUGCCGGGCCACUCGCUCCGCGGCAACACCUUUCUCCGGGAGGGUCCCGUCCCUGAGGUAGCGAACAAUAUCCGCCCCCUAGGGUGGCGGUUCCCGGCUCGUGCAUGCCACAAGCUUGGCGGCAUUGUCGCACCAGUGGCACCUGGGGUACCACCACUGCAUGACGCGUGGGCCAUCUCGCUUGCUCCCCGGGAGGAUUGCACCCCGGGCAGCACCUCGCGAGCUGCCCGGCAAGUACUAGCACGGCAGGGCUAGCCGGGCUGCGGGGGUUGCCUUGGAGGGCAGCAAGAGAAAUCCCGCCUGGGCGCUUCCCGGGAAGGUUACUUGCUGGGAAGGGCCUUCCCAGGCGCAGGCGCCCGUUACAGGAGCGGGACCGAGUGGGCAGGACAACGACGCCACGUGGCCGCUCGGCGGGCUCCCCAUGCACAGGGUUCGUCAGGACAAGGAGCGAAGCACACUCAAGCAUUAAAUGCAUCGACAGAAAGGGGAUUCCCCGUCCAGUCAGCCUACAGUGACUGGCCUGGUGUAAAUUUUUAGGCACGUAGGACCCUAGUUGCAGGGCUACCCAUCCUGCAUGCAAGCCAGCGCGGCAGGGCCGAGCUGCCCUGGCUCCUUGUUCGCCAUUUGUUACCCAUGCACCGAGGCACCUGUGGUAUCCUCUUAGGUAUAAAAGGAGGACCCCCGCCAACGGUCAAAGGGUUGGAUGGACUCUCAGUUCACUACUAAUUCUGGCCAAAAGUAGCAAGUAACACUUAGCUAAGAAGAGAGAGAGCACCCGGGGACUCCCUCCGGCAACUUGUAAACCCUUGCUCAUCGGUUAAAACCCUACGUCCUACUUCUGAGUUUGCUAUUAAAUUAGAGUAAUAAGGAGUAGCAAACUCAUCCAAGCCAUUAGAUCAAAACAAAUGAACGGCCCUAAUUAAUUCAGUGUACAGUAGAAGAGCUCUUGUAAGUAGUAGAGAAGUAGAGAAAAAGAUGAGAUGAGAUGUUGUGGAUUGUUUUUAAAAAUUCAUUUCAUUUUGAGCUAUUAUCACGAUUAUUACUACUGUACUACAAUACUACAUUGAGGAGAAACGUUGUGUCCUUCGCAAACCCAAAGCAUCUUACCUCUCAAUAAGCGUUCUAUGCAGUGAACAGUAUCUCUAGCAAAUGAAACUUUCAACUCAUGAUUUGAACUUACAACAGAAACUAUAGCAUUCAGUCGCAAUUGGAAUCUGAAAGCUUCGAACUGAGGAAUGUUUCAAACUUGACUUAAAAAUACACCGAGGGGGGGCUCAUAAAAAAGUUGGCUACAUCCAGAAUGCCACAGGAGUAGAACAGAUGUCAUUAAAUAUAUGCGCUUCAGUCAUGUCGUAGGAGUGCACUCUUAGCCGUGUUGUCCGGAGGUCUCCAUUUUUAUCAUACUUGAGAACAAACCUUGUCAUGUACAACACACGGCGGCGUGGCCCAUGACAGAGUUCGAAAGGCUGAUCAUCCUUGUGCACGAGAGACUCAAUUAGGCAGUAGUCGCUGUUCCCCAGAUGGAGAAGGGUGGCACCUAGGUGCCUCUCAUUGUCUGCAGAGAAGAGCUGGUCCUUUCCGAGCUUCCAAGCUGGCAUGCUACCGCAUUUGGCAGCCGUGGCAACAGGCGGAACAUCGCAGGAGCAGACGUAGCCAACGCCGCCUUUGUGACGGCAGAAUCCUACCCAAGCAUCAAGCUCGCCGUCAAAGUAGGCUUGGCCUUUGAAUGGCAUGACCCAUUUGCCUUGGCAUGUCCAGCCGAGGUUCCCAGUGUCCAAGCAGAAGGUGCUUGCCACUUCAGAGACGAAGAGUGACCGGCCGUCAGGGUGCACCGCGUAGGACACGAUGUGAGCAGACUGCAGCGGAGCCAAGGCUGAGCAUAUGGUCCAAGACCACUGUGUGUGUUCGUCAAUGAUGUCGCGGCAUGGCGGGGCAUCAAGCACACAUACGCAGGAUCCCACCAUCAUGUAAAGCUUGCCGGCAACAGAUGCGAAGACAGGCUUGCGCCAUACCUUCUCGCCGUUGGGGUGUGCGCAGAGGCUGAGUCCCAGCGUUUUUGUGUCGAAUACAGGGAACGAGCUGUCAGCGGUGCUCGAGACCGGCAUGGCCAGUAUGUUGGUGCCAUGCCCGCCGAAAUGAUGCAAACGGCAGUGAGGGCCGUCAAAGCGCACAACGGGGGGAUCUGGGAGGGGCUCAGCCUGCUCAUCCAGGUCGGCGCCGGCGUAAGAGUCGAAGACGUCGACGUCUACCUUGCGGACGCUGUAUCCCCUUUCCCAGUCAUCGACCACGAGAUAGACAUGCUGUCGCGGUUCAUGCGGCCGCCGCUUGGCCGUGUGGCAACAUGGCUGGAGCAUGUACUGCCGCUUAGACAUGUCGACUACUCGACUUCCUCCUCUCCGGCGGGACUAUGUGAUUUCUGUGCUGCCAGGAAAUAGAUCAACUCCUUAGAAUAAGAAAACCAAGACCGGCCCCUGAUAAAUAAGCCAAACGAGACCGAUUGGGAAACGAUGCGGCUUGAUUGUAACCGAAUUCCACUCAGAUUAGCAAUCAACCAUCGGAUUGGAUUCAGGGAAACAUUUACCGCCGAAUCCGACUCGCAUGCUGACUGGCUAUGAACUAGCCGAGGGCGUCCAUCGCUUCCCUCUAGAGAGGCAUGGCGACAGCGGAGGAUCUCCCACCGCGACAGCGAGGGCUUUUUGCGGCGGCGAGGGUUUUGUGCGGGAUUGCGGCGGCGGGGAGUGAAGCAAACAGCGGGCGUUCAGUCCCCAUAGAUCAUGGACCGCGGGGGAGAUUGACUGGGCUGGGCUUGGCACAUAGGCCUGUUCGGCACAUAGCCACAUAGGCCAUAACGGCAGUUUGGGGUGGCACGAGUUGGAGUAAAUUUCCCUAAAAAAAAGAAACGAGUUGGAGUAAAUUACGAAAAACAACCGCGUGCUCUAAAGAAAAAAGGAUCGACUUUUGUCUCUUCGGCGCGGCCGCUUUACUUGGCUAUGGAAGUAUGCUGUAUCCCUUUAUACGUUUAAUAAAGGCUGUGUGUUAGGCUAAAAAGACAAAACGAAAAGCAAACCAUAUCGAGGGAUCGAGUUUCAAUUAGACACCUGUAUUUUUUUUUAUUAUUUUACUAAAAAAAGCACCACUUUCCUGGCCGACGGUUGCUUUUUUUAAACAAAGGGAUUUUCCCCGUUUCAUUAACGAAACCAUAUAUAGUUUUACAAGAACUUAAACAGUAACAAACAGCAGCAUCCUGCUCAACACGGCAGGACCAGGCGCAGCUGGCUGUAAAAAAUGAACUGAAGGCCAACACCUCAACGGUUAAGCAGACCCUCAGGCCCUAUUCGGUUCAAAGGUUUUUCACAGGAAAUAUACGAAUUGGUGUUCCGCAGGAGUCUCUGAGAAAUGGCCGUUCGGAUCACAGGAGGUGAUAUCAUAAUUUCCUCUGGAAUACUGUUCCAGCCCCUCCAAUCCACAGGAAUUGAAGAAUCCAGUCGGAGCUCAUUUUUUGCGUAUGCCCGAUAAAGAUCCGUGGCUUGCUAAUAAAAUAACUGGGUUUGUGGGUUGUUGGUGUGUGCCAGACACUCCAGUCUAGAAACAUAUUUGAUGACUAGGUGCUUAACCAAGGAAACCACAUGCAGCCAAAUAAAAAAAUUCAGAAAGCUGGUACUUCUUCCUCCGUUUUUCUAUGUUGUACCGAAUACUCAGCUGUCUGGUUUACCUCCGUUUUUUAUUACUCAGUUUUGCACCUCUGUUCCUUUUCUAUUUCUCUGGUUCCUUCCAUUCCUAUGUUUUGUAUUCCUUUGAACCGAAUAGUCCCUCGGACAGAAACCCAACGCUAAGUCAGCACACAGAAGCAAAACCAACCCUAAUGAUGGCAGACAGCAGACACCACGGCGACGAGCACAAUGUUCAGCUAGCAGUGAUCCUCCUCCCUGUGGCGCCCAUCCCCUAGAUGUGAGAUCGACAUAGGCAAUCAGAGAGGGGUGAAUGAUUGCGCGGAAGUAAAUUAAAACUUUUCCCGAAAGUUCAAACCCUAAAUCACCUUUCUGUCCGUGAUAGUAAAACAGUCUUAAAUUUUGAUUGGAUGAACCAAAAAAUACGUAUGAGUAUGGAAAAGAAAGGUAUUAAAAUUAUCUAACCAACGCAACAAGAAUCAGCUCAAUCAGACUUACCAAUCAAAAGAUAUGAUCAAAAUAGUAACAGCUGACAGAAAGUUACGAGGAUUAAUAUAAAACCAAUUUCGAGGAAUAACAAGAAAGAUGAAUUAAUCGCAAUCUUCUCUUGAUCUCGUGAUAAACCUGCAGCAAAGUAUUAUGAACUUGUGAUGAACCUGCACCAAAGUAUUAGAAAGAUCUAGCACGAAGAUUUCACGAAGAUCCGAGAAGAACAGAGAUGACACCGCCAACGAAUCUCUUUAUUGCAACGAUGUCGAUCGAUUACAAAAGAUGCAACCAUGCAUCCAAGAACUCUCCAAGAAUUGAUAUAGAUCCAAAGCUUUGAGUUCUCUCACGUCCUUGCUAAAACCCUAGCUAGGAUGACCUCUAUUUAUAAGGGAAAAUUCGCGACCCUAAACCGAGUCCGAAUCCAACACGAACUCCUCUGUCCCGGUCGUUAUUCUGCCCGUGGGGCCCACAGACGACCUCGGAUUAAGAUUACUCCAAAAGCAAAGUUGUUCGUCUCGACGACGCGCACAACUCUCAUGUGGACCACUUUUCCAUCCAACGCCAUCUUGAUGACGCUACUGUUUAAUCUUUAAACAGCUCUCAUCCAGCCACGACUGGAUCUACAUAUCUUCACGUCGAUGCCACUCCAUGCCAUCCACUCUUUUUGUGAUGUCUUCAAAACUCGACCAUCACGUAUCGAAUAUCUCCAAUACCGUACAUAUCCGGUAUAAACAACGUACGACAAAUCGGUGCCCUCCCGGAUCAUCGUAGCCUUCACUUUCAUUGUUCCUUCACACGAACGUCCCGCAUGACCUUGAUCCUCGACCUCAGCUUCUCCCAAGCUUCGUCCCUCGAUCCCGUCAUCAACCACGUUCCUCUAGCUCCGGCAACACUUGAAAGCGAACACACAAAUAACCAGUACGAGCACAAGUCCACGACUUGACUCAGGGUAAGUUCCACACAACUCACGCCAUGUUUUCACAUAAGAAACUAAUGGAUCAGCACAUCACUAGCAAAGCACUAAAUCCAAACAAGAUACAUGUCAUCACUUAAAUAUCCAUAUUAUCCAAAGUAUCCACAUCAAUGUUUCAUCUAAAACACUUGCCAAUGUUACACAUCACCUAUGAUUUCACACUAGAUCUAGCUAAAUUUUUUUUAAAUAAUAUGAUUUUUUAAUAUUUUUAAAAAUAAUAAGUGUUUUUUAAAAAUUUCAAAAUUAAUACGGCCUCCUCCUCACCCAGGCCGAUUAGGCCUGCCGAAGCUGAUUAGGGCCAUUCGGCCUGGGCCAGGCUAAUUGGAGGCAGGCUGCUCAGAGCCUGGGUCCCACAAGAGGCAGUCGGCAUGGCCCAAGCCGACUGAAGCCCAGUUGGUUUCGCCCAGGCCGACUGGCUUCAGUUGGUUUCGCCAAAGCCGAUUGAAACUAAUUAGGCUAAUCAGCUUCGCCAAAGCUAAUUAGUUGCAUGAUCAAUGCAUACACGUACGAUGGACAAUUUUUGUGUCGAAUCCUUGCGGUUUUUUGAACUAAAAGACUUGACAAUUUGAAUAAAUUAGCAUACAUCGAUAAUACCACAAUUUGAUGUGCUGGUUACGGAACCAAGUCACGACUAAAUUAACAUACAUCGAUAAUACCGCAAUUGGACAGAAUUAAAGAUAACAAAUACAAUUGAAACACAGUACAAGCACUACUGAGUCCACUCAGGCCAUUUUCCAGUCUUAUCGCCACAUUCUUCUACAGCCUUUGCCACGGUGGCCCUUUCUCUUUUCCUCUCACUUUCUGCCUCACGAGCAUCCUUGCGCCUUCGUUCCUCCUCUUUCAUGCGAAGUGCUUUCACCCUGUUUUCCCUCAGUGCUUCAUCAAAGUAACGACGUUGUUCCUCCCUAUGCUCUUUGAGCUCUCUCUUGCUCCUAUUUCUCCUGGGCUGCAGCUUUUGCCACACGCUCCUCCACGUGGAAACGCUGCCAUGCACUUCGUGACCUUGUGUUAAUCUCUUCCACCGCCCAAUCUGGCAUCUCCGUGUCAAUCCAACGAUACCACAUGCAUAGGGGCGGAGGAGACUACAAAAAAGCCUAAUGUUACAAAUAAAUCGAAUAUGACACACACAACAUGUUUAAGCAUACCUAUAUGUGCUUACCGGAGGCUUGUCGUACGGCGAAACUGGGACAGGUGGAUCAUGCUCAUAGUUCGCACACAUGAAAAACUUCAUGCGCAGCUUAUCUGAAAAAUAUGUCACCUCCUUCACCUUGCAUAGAUUGCCGCAUCAACACCUGAGAUGUCCCACCCCCGGAGGCAACAUCGCUUCUUUCAUCUUCCUCGGCCUCUCACCCUGGUCGGAGCAAGGCAAACUCAUUGGGGGACACUGGAAUAUUCAAAAAAACAGUAGUGCGAAGGAUGCUUGGAUGACAACCGGAUAUGAGGUAUUUAUAAGCUCUCAAACUCAUUCUCCCGCCACCGUUUCCCGCCAUGUUCUCCCGCCAUCGUUUUAUUUGUAUCUUCUGUAACUAUAAAAGACCGUCCAUAGUAUUGAAGUGUAGUCUCACCAUUUCGUCUAGGAAGAUGUCGUCCGGCUUCCCAGAUGAUCGUAGAUGUUGGUCAGGUAUGUCCCGGAGGCUAUUGUGGUUAGCCGGUGAUUUCAAGGUAGAUAAUAGGAUAGUUCAAUGGGACAAACUCAUUAGUAGUGACACCCUACUAACUAGCUGGGCCACCAAUUAAGAAGGUGCAGAUUCCCAUUGAGGACUUCUGUAGAGAUACGGCAAGAACUGCUAAGAUUGCACGAAAGGUGGAAGAAGCACAGUCAAGGUAAGAGUGAGUCAUACCUAGAAUGGUGAAGCGACCGCCCCCGUACAAGGGUUCGAUCUCUGUGCUUUUAGUGCUAGUACCUGAAUCGACUCACUAGCACACACAGUUUCAAGAUGUAAUAUCAUAGAACAAAGGUCUCAAGUAUUACAACGCAAUUUCCAGAAUUUAAGAAUACUUACAAACUGGCAUAACCACUUGGGUUAGCUCGAAUUAAAACAAAAGUUCAACAGCAGAAAGCGAAAGAUACAAGGGCUACAUUAACACCACAGUGAGAGCAUGUUGGAAUGUAGGCCCGUAACCCCAAGGCAAAUACGUACCCUCAAUCUUCAUAAUGCAACUAAUAAAGCAACUAGUGCAUAGUAAAAAUAUUUGGGAGAUGAUCAAAGUGAAACUUGCCUUGUCCAAAGCUGUGGUAGUUUUCGCACUCUUCGCAACAACAAGGUUCACACUCCAAACAAUCUAAAAUAAAAGAAUACACACACACACACACACACAUAAACAUGCUACUCAAUACAAAAACAUGCCAUGAUGCAUAGAUACGAUGAUGCACACAUAGAUUGGUUUUAAACUUAAAGGGUUUAGCUUCUGUUUUAAAGAGCUUUACAAAAGGUUUGAACAGAUUAUAAACUAAUAAGGAAGUAAUUACUUUGUAUGAAACAAAGGUGAGAUUUAAUAAAGGCUUAAUUGAUCUCUUUAUAAGGCAUGGAGCAAGAUUAAUUUGGUGUGGCAAGAUUAUUUACAAAAUAUUUUCCCCUCUAGUCCUAAGAGUGUAUACUCAAAACAUUUUUCAACAUGAUAGCAGGUUCAAAAUAAUUUUAAAACUAUUCAUAUGAAUAUUAAACCAUAACUAAGCAUUCUGUAAUUUGGUUCUGUUAAAGUUGUUCAAAGUCAAAAUUAAACUAUGCCAAAAGAUUCUAUAAGAUGUGAGGAUUCCAGAAAGGUGCGGAACUUCAAAUUUGGCCACACGGUUUAAAAGAUCUGAACGUUUGAAGUUUCAGGAGCUUUUCUGCAAAAGUCCCUUUUAAUCUCGGUCCGGGAAACAUUUUAAUAAAAAGGGUGGCACGUGGCGUCUUUCUAUUAGCCGGUACCGGUUCACUUAAGUGGACAAAACUCAGGCGUUGGAUCUAGAUCGGACGGACGAGAUGGGGCCUUCCUUACCUCCGGCUAGGGUUCCUUCUCCGGUGAGCUCGGUGGCGGCGGCGGCUUCGGGGGAACGGCAGCGCGCGUCUCCGGUGCGGCUCCGGCUUCAGGACAAGGUGGGGGAGGUGCGGCUUGACGUGGCGAACCUCGUGGCGGGGGAGUUCUUCCACGCGGUCGACGGAGGCGACGCCUAGGGGUCGGGCCGGCGGCGUGCUUCGGGCGUGACGGCGAACUCGAGCUUCAGUGCUCCAAAAAUAAAAAGUAACCGCGUCAAAAGCUUCGUAAAGGGGAGGGGAGAAGGAAAAAUGGGGUGGCAGCGACUGCGGACCUUUUGGUCAUCGGCGGCGAGCUCCACACGGCGGCGACAAUGGCUAGGUGGCACGGGCAAAAUUAGAGUAGUUCGGUGGUGGUUCGGGGGAGAGAGGAGAGGGGAAAAGAAGAGGAACUCGGGGGCUUCAAAAUGACGCGCUUGGACUCGGAUAUGGGAUCGUGUACGCGGAGGAAACGGAGUGGAGUUCGUGCGUUUGGAGGACUCGGACAGCGUGGGGUCUUCGGGCCGGCAGUGGGAGGUUGAAGGUGAUACUGAUGGGUGGGGCCUGCCCGUCAGAGGCUCGGGCGUGCACGCAGGGCUGCGGCCCGGCUCGGUGCGCUGAGGUAAGUGGGCCGGCCCGGUUGGGUCGGUCCGGUUACCUUUUUUUUCUUUUCUUUUUCUUUUUUUCUAUCUUUUGAAUGCAACUUUUGUUUUAAAGCUCCAAUUCGAGUCAAAUAAAAUGCAACAAAAUUUAUAAAAUCAUAUUUUCGUAUGAUUCAACUUUUGGGACAAGAAUUCCCUCAAAAUAAAAUAUUUAAAAAUACUUUUUCCUAAAAACUAGCCUUUAGGGCUUUUUAGCUAUUAAAUUUUUUUAGUGUUUUCGAAUUCAAAUCAAACACCAAAAUAUGGGGUAGCACCUUUAUUGCGUUAAACCCCUUUAUGAAAUCACCCUCAUGGGUUAAGAUCCAAUUGACAAAAGAAAGGUAAAAGAAAAGAUUCAAAUAAAAGGGCACAUUGUUAUUGAGUUCAUCUGAGUUUGAAAAUUAUGGUUUUAAAUGGGGUUGAAUGCAAAGGUUAUAUGAUGCUUAUGAAAUGCAAUGCAUAUGGAGGUUUUUUUUGAAAAUUGGGAUGUUACAGACCUAACCCCCUUAAGAUGAAUCUCGCCCUCGAGAUUCCUGCCGGUUAGCAAAUAGGUGUGGGUGGUCUUCUCGAAGAUCUUGUUCGCGCUCCCACGUAGCUUCUUCUUCGGUGUGGUGAUUCCGCUGUACCUUGCAGAAUUUGAUGGUCUUGGUACGAGUAUUUCUCUCUACGGUAUCCAAGAUCCUGAUCGGCUUCUCUUCAUAAGUGAGGUCGCUUUGUAUCUCGACUUCUUCAAGUGGAACUGUAUCCCUCAACGGUGUAUCAGCUAUUUCUGGGUGACACUUUUUCAGUUGUGAUACGUGGAACACGUUGUGGACGCUCGUCAACACUUCCGGUAAUUCUAACUUGUAAGCUACCUCUCCUUGGCGUGUUAAAAUCUUGUAAGGUCCAAUGAAGCGCGGUGCUAAUUUUCCUUUAAUCCCAAAUCUCUUAACUCCGCGUAUCGGAGAAACUCUGAGAUACGCUCUGUCACCAAUCUCAUAGGUGACUUUUCUAUGCUUGGAAUCUGCAUAACUCUUCUGCCUGGAUUGAGCUAUCUUGAGUCUGUCUCGAAUUAGUCUGACCUUCUCUUUGGCAUCUUUUAUCAUGUCGGGACCGAAUAAACUACGGUCUCCUACUCCAUCCCAUAAAAGAGGUGUCGUGCAUUUCUUGCCACACAAAGCUUCGAAAGGUGCCAUUCCAAUGUUUGAUUGAAAACUGUUGUUGUAUGAGAACUCUGCAUAUGGUAGAUUCUCAUGCCAGCUAGAACCAUAAUCCAGAGCGCAAGCUCUUAACAUGUCCUCGAGGAUUUGGUUCACUCUUUCGGUUUGUCCAUCCGUCUGUGGAUGAAACGCUGUGCUAAACUCCAGUCCCGUGCCUAGAGACUCAUGCAAUUUUCCCCAAAAUCUUGAAGUAAACUGAGUACCUUUGUCUGAGACGAUCUCUUUAGGGACUCCAUGUAGGCACACAAUUCUAGACAUGUAGCGUUUGGCCAACUGAGCACUUGUAUAAGUGGUCUUCACAGGUAUGAAAUGAGCAAGCUUGGUCAAACGGUCAACUACGACUCAUAUCGAAUCAUAACCAGACCUUGUCCUCGGUAAGCCGGUGAUGAAAUCCAUGCCUACUUUAUCCCAUUUCCAGUCUGGCACUGGCAACGGUCGUAGUAGUCCAGCUGGUUUCUGAUGUUCAGCCUUGACUUUGUUACAUACAUCACACAGAGAAAAAUGCUCAGCGAUAUCUCGAUUCAAUCCUGUCCACGUGAAUAUAUAUUUCAAGCUCUUGUGAUCGGUGAAUAAUUCACAAUACUUUCCCAUGGGAUAGUAUCUCCAAGUUUUGAGUGCGUGCACUACAGAUGUGUGGGAGCACGGUCUUCGGUACCGGGGAUGCCGAGCACCCCCUGUCGCACCAGUGGCACCCGGGGUACCACUGUUGCUUGACGCGUGGGCCACCUCGCUUGCUCCCCCAAGGGUUCGCGCCUGUAACAUCCCAAAAAUUCAAAAUCUUUCAUAUGCAUUGCACUCAUGAGCAUCAUGCAACAAUUGCAUAUUUGAAUCAAAUUUGAAUUCCAAAAAGGCUUUAAAAAGGUUUUAUUUCAUUUUAAACCUUAGGUUUUUCACCCAUUUGAGUUUUGGACUUCAAACCAUUAGGGUUUAUCUAUAAAAGGGAUUUAUUGCAUAAGUAAGCUAUCCCAUAAUUUUUGGGUAUUUAUUUGGAGUUGAAAAACUAUUUUGUUUAAAUAGUUAUAAAGCCCUAAAGGCAUUUAUAGGGCAAAUGUAUUUUUAUAUAUUUUAUUUGGAAGGGAAAUUAGUCCCAAAAGUUGAAUCAUAUUACAAUAUGAUUUUACAAAUUUUCUGGAAGUUAUCUGGAUCAAUUUGGAGUUCAAAAUCAAAAGAUAUCAACGAAAAACAGAAAAAGAAAAAAAAGGAAAAAGGUUAACGAAAAAAAAAGGAGAAACGGACCGGCCCGGCCAUUUUGGGCCGAACUGGCCCGCUUACCGCGCGCGCAUCGCAGCCCCGCAGCACCCCGCGCCUGCGCCCGGCCGCUGACUAGCGGGACCCACCUGUCAGGGAGCUCCUUCCCCGACAGGCAAGCCCCCGAAUUCCGCUGCCCGCGCCGCCGCCUGCCAUUUACGCCGCCGCGCGCCGUCUCCACCGCAAUCGCCUCCCUCGUCCAUUAUUUGCAGCCCCGACCGCGUCCCUAUAAAGGCGACGGCCCCCUGUCUCCUUUCCCCCUAAAUCCCCUUGCCACCACGCCGCCAGGUCGCCGAAAUUCCUCGGCGGAGCGAGGAGCCCGCCGCCGCUGUUUUUGCUUCGGGUCGACACCGCCGGUGAGCCAUGUUGCACGAACCCACAAAUUUCUUGAUCCCCUCGAUCUUGCGCGCGUUUUGACGCGCGCGGAUUUGUUUUUAGUGCCCCCUAGCAGCCGGAGCUGCGCCGCCCGACCUCGCCGGAGUCCGUACCCACGCCGCCGGAGCUCUCCGUUGUCCCAGGCGUCGCCUCAGUCCUCGUCCCGUCGUCCCGUGUGCGUCACGACCUCCGCCUCGUCGCGCCGCCCACGCCGGCGGUCUUCCCCGAGCCCUAAGACCACCGGAACCCCGUCCGCCGCCCGCCCGCACCGUGCCACGCCGCCGCCGGACGCCGUUCGCCAGAACCCUAAGGUCCCCGGAGGUGAGCCCGACCCCUCGUGACUGUUGGAUCUCGGCCAACGGCCGAGAUUAAAUCCGCGUUAUGCUUUAAGUGAACCGGUACCGACCAAUCACGGCUUGACACGUGGCACUUUAAUAGAAAACGAAAAUGUAAUUUUUAUUCCCGGAUUAAUUAAAAUGGCACUUUUGCAGAAAAGCCCCCGAAACUUCAAACGUUCAUAUCUUUUAAACCGUUUGGCCAAAUUUGAAUAACUUAACCACAGAGAAUUUACAGAAAGGUAUUUAAUGCCAUUUAAAUCAUAUCUUUUAAUUUAGAGAUCCUUUUUAAUUGAAACCAGUGCCCAAAAAUUUGUUUUGCCGUCCUCUGUUCAAUGGGACAGAGAAAUAAAUUUUUUGAAUUAAAUUAAUAGGCUAAUGCCAAUAAAACCUUGUUUUAGGGUUUAAUCUCUAGGUUUUGCAUUUUGUUUUUAAACCUAAUGCAUUAUUUUUAAUUGCUAAUGCUUUGGACUAGUUGAUCACCCGAAUAAAUUAACUCAAUCAUGUUACAUGUUUUGCAUUGCAUCAUGGCAUAUAUCUCCUUUUGAUUGUAUUGUGUGUUUAUGUAUGCAUUGUUUGUAUUUGAUUAGUUUUCUCGGAGAGCGAACUGUGUGAUUGCGAAGUGUGCUUGAAUUCAACUGCUAUCAAGGCAAGUUCACUUUGACCAAUAUCCUAUUAUUUUAUUAUGCACUAGUUUUUAUUAGUUGCAUUGUUAGGAUUAUUAUUGUACCUAUGCUAGCUAUGAUUCUCCUAGUAGUAUAGGUUACCCUUGCCAUGUUCUUACCACCAAUUGCCAUCGUAUUAGUCAAAUGCUAUGCUAUGAUAGUAUACGAGGGUGGUAUUAUUACAAUGUGAUGUUAUUGAAUUAAAGUAUGGUUUUCCUAGUGUAUGGCAAAACAAGUAAUUCAAUGAACCGUCCUGGGUGGGCUGCUUUGAGUAUUUGAGAUGCAUGCGACGUCAGGUCCAUUUCUAUGGGUCCAUUUCUGUGAGUCGUCUCACCAUGUCUAUGGGAGCACCUGCGUCACAAAUGUGGGAUGCCACCCGGGGUAACUAGAGACUGGACUAGUUUCCUAUUUAGUAGCUUCCAGUACAACCACAUGCUAAUAUGGGCUCUGGCUUGAUGGAGUAAGACAUAUGAUCCUGGAUCCGAGGGAUUGUGCAGAUGUAGCCGUGUAGGUGGGAACGUAGGUCCCUCAGGUGGUGUCGGUGACUAUGGUCUGAAAAUUUUUGUAAUCGACGCCGUUGCUACUCUAUCCUGAGGACAGCAAGGAAUUAACACGUUUAUUUCUUGUGGGGAAUGUGUACAACCUCUCGAGAGUGUCAAACUAAGUACUUAGCCGUGUCCCCGGUUACGGACAAUUAUGAGCAACUAGAUUUGGGAGCUGUAAGGAAGGUCUCACUCAUUCCAAUUUCUUAAUAAAAUGUAUGGUUUGAACAGGGUAGGAGCAAUUGAUGUGUCUACUCAAUGUGCUCUAGGCUAAUAGGAGCAUGGGUGUUUCUACCCCGUGUCCAAUAGUGAUAAAACUAUUUGUCUAAAAAUGAUAGGAUGAAACAUUGAUGCUUUUAUGCAAAUAGCCAAACCACUACCUUGCCAAAUAAUGCAUAUACUUGUUAGGUCUGCUAUAACUCUUUGGUGAACUUGCCAAUACAUUCAAUGUAUUGACCCCCUAGUGGCUGCAACGUUUAAAUGUUGCAGGUGAACCAGGUGAAGAGUGAGGUACGAAUUGUUAAGGCUGCGAGUUUACAUUCCAAAAUGUUUCGACUAUGGAGUUGUUACGGGACUCCUGUAUCUUCUGCCUUCCGCUGCAAGAUUUUAUUUUCUCUUGAGCUAACCCAUGAGGUUAUGCAAUAUGUAAGGUACAAUUUAAUUCUGGAUCAAUAUGAUGCAAUAUACUUUUGACAUUUGUAUCUUGAUAUUACAUCUUGAAACUGUGUGUGCUAGCGAGUCGAUCCAGGGACUAGCACAGUAAGCACAGAGAUCGAACCCUGUACGGGGGCAGUCACUUCAGCGCCCCGAGCAGCAUUGCGCGAGCUGCCCGGCAAGUCACCUGCCCGAAAGGACUAGCGGGGCUGCGGGGAUUGCCCUGGAGGCAGCAAGGGAAUUCUUGCCUGGGCGCUUCCCGGGAAGUUCCUUGUCGGGAGGAGGGUUCCUGGGCGCAAGUGACCGUUACAGGAGAGGGGCCGAGCGGACAGGACAGCAACGCCACGUGGCUGCUUGGCAGGCUCCCUGUGCGCAGGGUUCGUCAGGACAAAGAGUGGAGCACACGCGAGCAUUAAAUGCACCGACAGAGAGAGGAUUCCCCCUCCAUUCAGCCUAAAGUGACUGGCCUGGGGUAAAUUUUAGGCACCUAGGCCCCUAGUUGCAGGGCUACUCAACCUGCAUGCAAGCCAGCGCACCGAGGGGGAGCUGCCUUAGCUCUUUGCCUGCCAUUUUUCACCCAUGCACCGUGGCACCUGUGUUAUCCCCUUCGGUAUAAAAGGAGGACCCCCGCCAACGAUCAAAGUGUGGGACGAGUUUCCAGUUCACUACUAGCAAUAGCUCGAAGUAGCAAGUACCCCUUAGCGAGAAGAGAGAGCACCAGGGGACUCCCCCGGGCAACCUGUAAACUCAGGUUCACUGGUUAAUAGCAAACUCAGAAGCAGGACGUAGGGUUUUACACCUCAGGGUGGCCCAAACCUGGGUAAAAACGUGCUCGUGUUCAUUGUGUUCUUACGCCUCGCAUUGGCCUCGCCGGCGAUCCCUGUCGCUCACUGCCGAACCUGAAAGGGGGUACCCGUGCAUCCCCGGUGUCGGAGCCCCGUGCUACGACACCCCCUUUUUGGUUCGGGGGAGGGCAAGGGGAUCGCUCCGGCGAUCGCCGGCGUGGCGAAAGACACGAAGUGUACACAAGAGUUUUUACCCAGGUUCGGGCCACCCGUAGGUGUAAUACCCUAUGUCCUGCUUUGAGUUGUAUUUCUUAGUAUGGUUGUUACAGGUUGCCGGGGAGUUCCUGGGCUUUGCUACUGUCGUAGCACGGGGCUCCGACACCGGGGAUGCGCAGGCACCCCCUUUUAGGUUCGGCAGUGGGCGACGGGGAUCGCUCCGGCGAUCGCCGGCGAGGCCAAUGCAAAUCGUAGGAACACAAUGAACACGAGCACGUUUUUACCCAGGUUCGGGCCACCCUGAGGUGCAAAACCCUACGUCCUGCUUCUGAGUUUGUUAUUAGCCAGUGAACCAGGGUUUACAGGUUGCCGAGGGGAGUCCCCGGGUGCUCUCUCUUCUUGUUAAGGGGUACUUGCUACUUCGAGCUAUUGCUAGCAGUGAACUGGGAACUCAUCUAACCCUUUGACCGUUGGCGGGGGUUCUCCUUUUAUACCGAAGGGGAUACCACGGGUGCCCCGGUGCAUGGGUGACAAAUGGCGGGCAAAAAGCUAGGGCAGCUCCCCCUCGGUGCGCUGGCUUGCAUGCAGGUUGAGUAGCCCUGCAACUAGGGGCCUAGGCGCCUAAAAUUUACCCCAGGCCAGUCACUGUAGGUUGAAUGGACGGGGAAUCCCCUUUCUGUCGGUACAUUUAAUGCUCGCCUGUGCUCCACACCUUGUCCUGACGAACCCUGCGCACAAGGAGCCCGCCGAGCGGCCACGUGGCGUUGCUGUCCUGUCCGCUCGGCCCCUCUCCUGUAACGGUCACUUGCGCUCGGGAACCCUCCUCCCGGCAAGGAACUUCCCGGGAAGCGCCCAGGAGAGAAUUCCCUUGCUGCCCUCCAGGGCAAUCCCCGCAGCCUCGCUAGUCCUUCCGGGCUGGUGACUUGCCGGGCAGCUCGCGCAAUGCUUCCCGGGGCGCGAUCCUUCGGGGGAGCAAGCGAGGUGGCCCACGCGUCAAGCAGCAGUGGUACCCCGGGUGCCACUGGUGCGACAACUACUUGUCCCUCUAAGGGCUAGGCUACUUGGGUGAAUGCUGAACGGAAUAGAGCCGAUUCCUACCGAGGUCCAACCGAGCUGAACCGAACCGAAAUCGAACCCUUUGACCGGAGGCAUUCCUUUUAUAAACAAGAGGAUACCACAGGUGCCUACGCAUGCAGCGUGACACGUUGCCCAGAUGCGUGUCACAACUGCAUGGAAUACAAUUUUACUCAUCCACGCUGGACACCAUGAACCGCCCGGUCUACUGUACACGGUAGAAAUCGUAGGGUAGUCGCUCUAGCCUUGCUAAGCAAGACUAGGCCUGCUGAUAAGACUUCACUGUUCUGUCGGUGCAUUAAAUGCACUGCGCCCGCCGUCUUGUCCUAUCUCCACUGUUCUGCGGGUCCCGCCUGCAUGCCCGAGCGUGGGUUGCGGGGGUGCACCCUCCCGGCUACCGCACCAGCUAGUUUUGCCGGGAGGCUUUCCUUCGGCUUCCCGGGACCGCGGUUCCCGGGAGCGUCUUGCACUCAGCCCUUAGCUUUAGCUUCGCUAGGGGUCGUCUCCUCGAGGCAGGCUUCCCGGGCUCGUCGUUUCCCAGGAGUCCUUCCUGAUGGGGCUUCGUCACUGGCGACCCACGCGUCCCGUAUCAGUGGGACCCCGUGGGCCACUGGUACGACAGUAGCCCCCGGGCGUGGGCCGGCCGCCUUGAAGCUUCCAGCGAGUGCUAUCCUCGGUUGGUUACCGGGCUACGCCCUACCCGACGCGUGUGUCCCAAGGGGGAAACCCCCUAGCACCCGACCUCGUGGGCCGCAUUUAUAGUUCCACUUCUCCGAGCGAAAUGGUCGGGCGCACGAUUUCGUGCCUUAUCUCCCUUAAUCACUAGAGAGUUAAGGCCACGUCGCGCACCCCCCCUCUUAAUCCCUGAUUCAUUAGGGCUCUUUAGUGCCAAUCAUGGGGGCGUCUGUUGCAGUCCGCCAGCCCUGAUAAAUACCCAAGGCCGGCGGCGGAGCACUCCCCAUUGUCUCUCGCUCUUGCCACCAUCUCCUCCCAAGCUCCCGACUCCCCAAUUCCAACUCAACCACCUCUCCUCCUCCACCGAUGUCUUCCAAGGGCCAGAACCGUCCCAAGGGGAGCACCAGCAAAGGUGAUAAGGCCGACAAAAAGGAACUGUCAGAUAGAGCCCGGAAGGAGGAGGAAAUGCGGGCUAAAUUCGCUUUCUUCCCCCCGGGUACAACGACGAGGGGGUCGACAAGCUGGUCUUGGCGCUGGCCACCAAGCACAAUGAGCACGGGCCGACGCGGGACCUUCCCGCCAGAGCGGAGCGCGACGGGCACUACUUCCGGAUCUUCAGGAGGUUCAUCCUUGCCGGGUUCGUCCCGCCACACUCCUACUUUCUCUCAGCCAUCAUGGAGUCCUACGGGCUCCUCAUGGCGCAACUUCACCCCACGUCGUUCUUCACAUUGGCCGUUUUCCAACACCUCUAUGAAGCGUUCGUGGGGGUGAUGCCGUCGGUGGCGCUAUUCCGCCACUACUACUACCUGAGGGUGGAGAAGAAGGCUCCCCUGUCCUCGGGGGUAAUGUUCCGAUUCCGCGACAGGAUCAGAUCGGAAUUCAUCGAGCUGGGGAAGAAGAAGAUCGAGCACCAAUGGCGUCGCGACUGGUGCUGGGUGCGCAGCGACGAGCUCCAGGAGUUCCACGAAGGGCUCUGACGACUGGACACUCCGCGACCCGAAGGACGAGGAGCUAGCCCCGAUCAGUGCAAAGAUCAAGGCACUCUGCGAGGCCAGGCUCACGGACAUGGAUGUGGCGCGCCACAUCAUCGGGAGGCACGUGGCCCCCCUGCAGCGGCGCUCGCAUCCGGCUGCAACGCACGGACCUCCUCCCGGAGGAAGUGCAGUUCUGGGUGAAGGGUAUCACCGGCGAGGACGAGCCCUACCGGCUGCUUCCGCCUAGAGCGCAUUCGCUCCACGCCGGGAUCCCGAACCCGGGAGCCCAGGAUCUCCCACUCUGCAACGAGUGGGGGAUCAUGGUGGACCCCUCGGCGCAACCCUCACCCCCACAGCCCUGGCCCCAGAAGGGCAAGGGGCCGGCUGCCGACUUGGGGAAAGGGGGCCCAGGCCAGGCCUCCGCCAAGACAGAGGGCUCGGACUCCGACGAUUCCUCGUUGGGCAUCGGAGGGGACCUCAGCGACGACAACGGCGAUGACGACGUUCCCCCAUCAGCCGGCGAAGUCGUGCCAGAGGAGGACAACGAGGAAGAUGACGUCCCCCGGGUGAGGCGGUCCGCGGCGGAACGGGCGGGCAGGCGGGAGGCCAGCCCGCAGCUCCAGGGGCCUCAAGGCGACACGGGGGCAGGGGUCUCCGGUGGCAGCGGCGUGGCUACAUCAGCCGCCCCGACCACCCCGACAACUCCCAGAGCUCUCUCCACGCGAAGCGGCCCUUCGGCGAGGAGCAUCCUGUCGGACAGGGUGCUCAAGCUCAAGCCGACAGGGUAAGUCCAAUGUCGUUCUGAGCAACUUUGAUUUCACGAAAUUAUUUUGUGCCUGACUAAUUCAUUUUCGCGUUUUCCAGUUUCUCGAGAAAGAGGGGGCAGACCAGCGUGUCGCCGGCAGCCCCAACCAAGAAGCCUCGCCCAGCCUCGGGCGGCGGCGACCAAGACGCUGCCGGCGCAGCAGUUGCGAGGGCGGCAACGGUCGUGGGGGACCCAAGGAUCCUCGACUCGAGCUCGCAGGGCACCGGCCCAGCGGCAGGUAUGCGCAAGUUCGAACACUUCCCUUAUUAUUCGCGCCAAUCCCCUCGCUUGACGCAGGAGCCGUUCGUGCAGUUGCCGGAGGGGUUCCGGCUCGCCCACGCCUAGAGAGGUGCGGGUCAUCGACCUCACUGGCGAGGUCGAUGACGAUGCUCAGACAGAGGUUGCCUCCGUCGGAGCCCUUCAACAAUCUGUCACGGCGCCUGCCGGGGCCGCGACUGCCGCCACCGAUGACGCCACGCAAGGGGCGCCAUCCGAGGCGGGAGGCGCAGAGUAGCCUCCGCCAGCCGGGGCGGGCGGUGGUGCCCUGGAGAAGCUCCCGAGCCCCCAGCUCGCCCCUUCGGACGAGCAGGGAGCAGCGGGGCUCGACCAUGCCGGCGGCGCGCCAUCAAAUCCCGAUGCGCCCUCGGGGUCGCAGACGGUUGCGGCGGGGUCCUCCUCCUCCGUCGGAGCCGCCUUCAGCCUCGGAGCAAGGGAGCUUGCCGGGCGGACUUGGGGUCGGAUCACCUUCGACCCCAUCGUGUUCCAACAGGGAUACCAAGUGAUCGACAACAUCCAGCAGCAGCAGAUCUUCGUCGAUUUUUUCAACGACGCGCGGCAACACCACGCCCGCGUAGGGGCGGAACUGGGCGCAGUGCGACGGGAGGCGGAGGAGCAGUGCACCGAGCUGCAGCGGCUCCGGGAGGAGCUCCAACAGGCACGGCAGGCCGGGGCAACGCCUGCGGUGCAAGGGGUGCUGGAGGCACAGGUCCUCCAGCAGCUGUGGGACCUCCAGCAAGAGCACCAGCGGGAGCUCGAGCUGGUGAAGGCCACACACACCAAGAGCGAGGAGGAGCAUCAGGCGGCUCUGGACUCGUUCCAAGGGCGUCUCCGGGAGAAGACGGACCUACUAUCCGGCUACUCCCUGGAGAUCCAGCGCCUCCGCCACGAGGUCAGAGAGCUGGGUGCGGCGGCCGCAACAGCAGCCGAAGCCUCGGCGCGCCGGGAAAAGGAGCUGCAAGACCAGGCCCGCUCCCGGGAGCGCGAGCUUGGGGGGCAGCUCAAAGCUGCCCAAGAUGCCAGCUCGUCCCUUCAGGGCGAGCUCGACAUGGCGCGGCAGGAACUCUGGCGGAUCGACGACGACAACACCAAGAAGGCGUCGGAGAUCGGUCGGCUAAAAUCUGAGUGCCGCGAGCACAAGCGGCAGGCCCAGGAGGCUCGCGGUGCGUGCACAGAGCUGUGGGCACGCAGGACAGGGGAGGUGGUCAGGCUGAAGAAGCUGGCCGACUCGGCGAGGGAGGCACUGCAGGGGUUCGACAUCCCUGUGGCUUCCUUCGAUGGGGCAGACAUGGGGAGCAUCACUUCGUUCUUUGCAGACUUCGUCGGCCGGCUGAGCGGCCUACAGAGCUGCGUCACGGCCUUCGGGGACCGGCAAGUCGGCCUUGCGGCCGAGCAGGUCGCCGGGCAGAUUCUCACCCGAGUCCACUCCGCCCACCCUGACUUCUCGUUCGAGUCGGUCUUCGACGCCUGGUCAAACGAGGAAGAGGCCAAGACACACCGGGAGGCGGUGCAGGGCGUCGUGGACGAGAUGGUGGCGCGAAUGCAGGGCAAGGUCGACGAUGACGAAGCCACUACUGAGGAGGUUGCCGGAGAAGCCCCCGAUGCUGAGGAUGCCCCUGAUACCGAAGCAGCCGCCCCGGGAGCACCUCCCGCAGAGUUCCCUUCCUUCUCUUUUUUCUUAUUUCCCUACAAGUGGCGCAUGGCGCCUUAGAACUUUUUAUGUUAGCUUUCCCUUGUCCUUAUCAGUGUUUCUCGUCAACUUGUUUUGCCCAAGCUUUAAUAUAUAUCCAAUGCUAUUUUCACUUGCUCCUUUGCCUAAAACUAUCUUGCUGGGGAGGGGCUCUGUCCUUCUUGUGUUUUAGCCUUGCGUACCCGGGGACUCAAAUAGCAGCGGCUAGUCACUCCGCCUGCGGGUUUACUACCCUAGCGCGCACGCCUCCGGGACGGACCCGCGAGCCACGUGUGGGGGGCCGUCCUCACCCCGCAAGCGUCCUUCCUACGCUCCGGCUACACGAGGACCGAGCUAACCCCAGCAAACUAGUGUUACUAAGGGGAAAAACCAAGGACCCAAAAUGAGAUACUUAGCUUCCCAUUUCUUUUUGGAUUUGUUGCACCUUGUUUAGAGCCGUGGCAAGGCCGUGGUGGUAGUGCACCCUCCAGCAGCACCCUUGGGGCUGCGGAGGCAUGCACCACCACCGCGUCUUUACGAUGCCUCUCGCUUGUCUCAUCGCCACUUCUGGUGUCGCUCCAUAAGAGAUGUGUCAGGGCCGCGAUGGUGGGAACACCCUUAGCGGCAAGCGUAGAGGGAUGCACCACCAUCGUCUCUCUGCGACAUCUCUUGUUUUCUUGCCCAUUGUUGGUGUUGCACUUGCCCUGGUCUCCUUAAAUAGCCAAAGCGCUGCUCUUGCCUCCACACGCCCGGGACCACCAGUCGCUGCGUGGAGGCACUGGCCCUGUCUCAGUUUCCUGCAUCAAGCCUCGAAGUGAUUGCCAUAUAUGUACAACUUACUCGCAAGACGACGACACCCGUGACCACUCCACGAGCAUCACAGUGUGCCUUCGCCUUAUCUCUAUCCUGCAUGUCAGAUUCCUGCAGUGCCCAAGGUACAUAGCAAAAAAAAACCGAAAUGUAUGAAAAACAGUAUAAACUUGAUAACCUCCUGCCUCCCAGCCCCCGGGCACAGAAGAGUCGACCUCAGACCUGGGUGUGAGCAUCUUUACAUUUCCAUGGUGCCUCGCUGGCACGUAACACGUUGCGGACAGGUCCGGCAAUUGCUAGGCCUCAUUCCAGGGGCGUCCCAGCAACGAGCUUUGUUUUCGGGGUUCCGGCAACCCCCUGCUCACAGCCAAGGAUGAGGGGACAAUUCUGUGCACUUAGAGCAGCAGACAGAAGCAUUCACAGACAGCAAAGCAAAACAUUUACCAAUGUAACACUUAUCUUUAAGCUACACUAGCUUAAAGAGGCACGCUGCCGCAGCGUCACCCGUGGAUAAGGCACCAUCGUUUCACGGAUAGAACUUGCGUAGGUGCUCAAUGUUCCAACUAUUGGGCACCGGCAAGCCUUCUUCGGUUUCCAGCCGGACAGCCCGCGGUCUGGUCACCUGCACUACUCGGAAAGGGCCUUCCCAGAUUGGAGUCAACUUGAUCCCGGCUUUCGUUCCUUGUAUCCGACGCAGGACGAGGUCUCCAACCUCGAGCCCCCGGGGACGGACUCUUCUGUCGUGAUAACGACGGAGUCCCUGCUGGUAGCUUGCAGCUCGUACAGCAGCCCGGCAUCGAAUCUCCUUGAUGAAGGUAAGGUCAUCAAUCCUCUGCGUGUGUUAGCUCUUGUCGCUGUACGUGCGUACCCGAGGUGACCCAUACUUGAGCUCGAGGGGCGGCACAGCUUCUGCCCCGUAGACGAGGGUAAACGGAGUUUGACCCGUCGCCCGACUCGGUGUGGUCCGCAGUGACCACAGCACGGGUUGGAGUUCUUCAACCCAGUGUUUCCCGUGGCCUUUGAGCUCGUCAAAGGUUCUCGUCUUGAGCCCCCGCAGCACUUCCGUGUUGGCUCAUUCCACUUGCCCGUUGCUCCUCGGAUGUCCUCGCAGUAAGCUUGGAACACCGCACUAGUGAAUUGCAUGCCGUUGUCGGUGAUGAUGCCGUGAGGCACACCAAACCGGCACACAAUGCCUUUGAAAAACUUGAUGGCCACCUGCGCCGUGACGGUUCGGACAGGCUCCACCUCGAUCCAUUUCGAGAACUUGUCGAUGGCCACAAGCAGGUACUCGUAGCCGCCAACUGCUCUCGGUAGUUUGCUGACGAUGUCCAGCCCCCAGACCGCGAACGGCCACGAGGACGGGAUGACUUGCAGGACUUGCGCUGGUUGGUUGCUCUUCUUGGCGUGAAACUGGCAUGCUUCACAGGUCUUGACUAAUUGCUCGGCAUCGGCUAGUGCUGUCGACCAGUAGAAGCCGUGCCGGAACGCUUUCCUAGCUAGUGCCCUGGAGGCCACAUGGUGCAAGCAUGUGCCUCGAUGUAUAUCUUCCAGCAAUGCGCGCCCUUCCUCCUAGGGCACGCUGAGGAGCAUGACUCCGUUAGGACGCCUCCGAUAGAGUUCUCCGUCCACCGGGGCGUACACUUUAACUUGCUGGGCUACUCGCUCCGCGGCAACGUCUUCCUCCGGGAGGGUCCCGUCCCUUAGGUAGCGAAUAAUAUCCGUCCCCGAAGGUGGUGGCUCCCGGCUAGUAUAUGCCACCAACUUGGUGGCAUAGUCCCCUACAGCUGUAGGGUCACCUUGAGUCGCCGGAGGGGAUUCCCUUCAACUGCCUUGGGGUUGAUAGAGGGCUUCAACUACCUCUGCACGAACACCCCAGGAGGCACGUUCCGCUGCCCACUUGGACAGUUCAUCCGCAACAAAGUUGUCCUUGUGCUUUACGUGCUCAAAUCGAAGUCCUUUGAACUUGGACUCCAAUUUUCGCACUUCCUCCACGUACGCUACCAUCUGGUGGCAGUCGUAGUCCUUGUUUACCUGGUUGAUCACGAGUUGGGAGUCCCCACGAACAACCAGGCGCUUGAUAUCAAGGGCGAUCUCCGCACGUAGGCCGACAAGCAGUCCCUCGUACUCCGUUGUGUUGUUGGUGGAGUUGGCGAAAUCGAGAUGUAUCACGAACUUGAGAUGGUCUCCGGUGGGCGACUCGAUCACCACUCCGGCACCGGCGCCCUGCAAGCAGAAGGCGCCGUCGAAGUACAUGACCCAGUACCCUUCGUCCAAUGUGCCGGAAAGGCUCGCUUCCCGCUAAGGAAGGGAGCAAGGAGGGGGAGUAGACCAGGCUGGCUGGAGCAAAUGGGCUUUGGCCCAGAGGGUGGAUUUGGACUUUUCUAGCGCUUUUGAAAUCAAACAAAACACAAAAAUUCAAAUAUGGUUUUAUAAAUACCAUAUGAACUCCAAAUAAUUCUAGUAAAUCAAAAUAAUCAUUGUGGGCUUAGGGAAAUAUAGUUUACACCCAAAAUGUUCCUCCAUAAAUAUAUUAUUAUGCUAAAUUAGGUUUUGAAUAAACUCCAAGUAAAAUCUCCUAAUAUUUCUAUAGUUCAAUAAAUUCCCAAAUAGAUUUAUAACACCAAAACACACAUUUAGUAAACCAUUGCAAAUGUUCCAACUAUAUAUAUUUGGGAAAUCACGUUAUCCCACUUUCAGCGAUGGAUUAAAUGUUGGAAUAACAUUCGCACAUGACAAUGUCACGUUAUCAUUUUCUCGAAUAUUUGAUAACUUCUUCUCGAAAACUAAAUGAACAGGACAAAAUAAAAUCGAGAAAAAACAUAGUUGAACAUUGAAUAUGUUUCCAACCUUAUAAUCAGGAAAGUCAUAUUAUUCCCUCUCUUUAAUAUUUAAAUAAAUGUUGGAAAGCAUUUUUAAUCAAUUCAAAUAUUCCAAAGAUGCUCUCAAAUGGUCAUGGCAUCCAAAUUGGAUACUUGGGAUGUUAAUAAAUCCUUCAAAAAUAAAAUAGUAUUUAUUAAGAUGCAAAGAUUAAUCCUAAUAAAAUCAUAGGAUGCAAUGGUUCCAAAUAAAAUACUUUGAACUUACAUAAAUGUCCCAACCAUGUUGUAUAAUUUGGAUAGUCAUAUUAAUCUACUCGUUUGUUGAAUAUUCAAACAUGGUGUGAAAUUUUUUAAAUAAGUCCUAAAAAUUUGAAAUCCUUCAAAAUUUUCUCAACCAAAAUAUCUCCAAAGCAAAUAUUUUAUUUACCAUUCCAAAAUUGGAAAAUUUUGGGAUGUUACAUGCCUUGUCCAGGAGAGAUACACUUGAUGAACAGGUUUCCUCUUGCCAUGCUAUUUCUGCAGCAAUUCCAGACUGGCUGAAGGAAGUGGAACAAUCUUAUGUGGGGGAUAACAAGUGCACAAAAUUGCUUCAGCAAUGGACUGUUCAGCCUAACAGUAAGCCAAAUUAUACAAUGGUAGCUGGCAUUCUGAGAUAUAAAGGCAGAAUCUACAUUGGUUUUUCUACUGAUCUAAGGAACAAAAUUCUCCGCUCUUUUCAUGAUUCCAUCUUUGGGGGGCACUCUGGCAGGACAGUAACAUACCACAGAAUUAAAAAGUUAUUCUACUGGCCCAAAUUAAAACACCAAGUGGAACAGUUCUUGGCUGCCUGCCCUAACUGUCAACUCAACAAAGAGGAACAUGUUCCUUAUCCUGGAUUACUUGAUCCACUUUCCAUCCCUGAAACUCCUUGGUCACACAUCUCUCUUGAUUUUGUGGAUGGCCUACCUAAAUCUAGAGGCAAAGAUGUGAUAUUGGUACUAGUGGAUAGAAGAACAAAGUAUGCUCACUUCUUACCACCGGCUCAUCCAUUUACAGUUCAGCAAGUGGCAGAUCUGUACAUGGACAAUGUUUAUAAACUGCAUGGGCUACCACAAUGCAUUGUGUCUGACAGAGAUAGGAUUUUCACUAGUAAUCUCUGGCAAGAUCUGUUCAAAGCUCUGAAAGUUACACUUAAUCUCAGUUCAUCUUAUCAUCCUCAAAGUGAUGGCCAAACUGAAAGAGUCAACCAAUGCGUGGAGAACUACCUCAGAACAAUGGCUUUUCAAGAACCCAAAAAAUGGUGUGAUUGGCUCCCUGCCGCAGAAUGGUGGUAUAACUCUUCUUAUCGUACCUCCCUGAAGAUGUCACCAUUCCAAGAACUCUAUGGCUACCAUCCUCCUCAGGUCUUUGAACUCUCAAUCCCAUGCAACAUUUCUGAUGAAGCCAAGGUCACAUUGCAAGAAAAGGAAAGAAUUAUUCAAGAGCUGAACAUCAAUCUCUAGCAAGCACAAAAUCGUAUGAAAAAGUUUAAUGACAUGAAGAGAACAGAACGCCAGUUUUCAGUUGGAGACAUGGUCUAUUUGAAGAUGCAGCCAUAUCGCCAAAAUGCUUCUGGUUUGCGUACUACUCUCAAACUGACUUCCAAAUAUUAUGGACCAUUCCGUGUCUUGGAGAAGAUUGGUCCUGUGGCUUACUGAAGCGACCGCCCCGUACAGGGUACGAUCUCUGUGCUUAUAGUGCUAGUCCCUGGAUCGACUCACUAGCACACACAGUUCAAGAUGUAAUAUCGAGAAACAAAAGUCAAGUAAUUUUAUUACAACGUCAUCAUCCAGAACUUACAACUUUGCAUAACCACUCGGGUUAGCAUUUAGAAAUAACAUAAAUUGUUCAACAACGGAAAGCGAAGGAAAAAUUGAGCCAAUUCAACGCCAUAGAGAGCGCAUGUUGGAAUGCAGGCUCGUGACCCAACAACGUAACCUUACUCGUCAUCGGAAUUCCCUGCAACAAUUUAAAGGUUGCAGCCACUAGGGUCAAUGCAUUGAAUGUAUUGGCAAGUUCAUCGGGGAUUAUAUCAGAUCCUAACAAAUAUAUGCAAUUAUUGGCUAUGUGGAGAUCAGGCUUUUUGGCAUGGAAGCAAUUAACAUAUCAUUUUUAUCCUACUACAAUUGAAUUUUAUAGUAUAACAAAUGUAUUGGACAUCGGGUAGACACACCGAUGCUCCUAUUUAAAUCUAAGGACAUUGAGUAGACACAUCAAUGCUCCUAACCCAAGUUUAAACCAUUCAUUUUAUUUAGAAAUUUGAAUGAGUCAGACCUUACUUAGUUUCCAUAUCCAACUGCUCAUGAUUCGUCCAUAACCGGGGACACGGCUAAGUACUUAGUUUUGACAUUCUUGAGAGGUUGUACACAUUCCCCACAAGAAACCGACAGGUUAAUCAUAUCCCUUGCUAUCCUCAGGGUCCACCUACACGAUUACGAGAUUUUCCGAAGUAAUUCCCUAGACCACGAGAGAAUCACGCUCCACCUACACGGCUACAUCAUUAUAAUUCUUCGGGUCUAGGUUCAUACAACAUACUCUAUUCUCGCCAGAGCCCAUAUAGCAUGUGGUUGUACUGGAAGCAAUUAAAUAGGAACCCAAAUUCAGCCUCUGAAAACCCUAGGUGGCAUCCCACAUUUGCGACGCAGGCGCUCCCCGAAUACACGGAAGAGACGACCAUGGACACUCCCGAAUCCACGGAGAGACGACUCAGAGGGCCCCAUAGAGAUGGACCUGACGUCGCGUACAACCAUAAUACUCAAAGCUACCCACCUAGGAUGGUUCAUUAGCAGUUGUUUUUAGCCAUACAUCAAAAAUAACAUUUUUCAUCAACAACAUUUCUAGAGUGAAAGUGGUUCCCUCCCACGCAUAUUUACAUAGCACGGCUAAGCGUAACUACUAACGGUGGAUAUUGGUGGGGAUUUGAUGGCGAGAAAAAUCUAUUCUACUAGGACAAUAUAGCUAGCAUAAAUAUAAUAAUUUAAUCCUAAUGCAAUUCUACAAACAACGCUAAUGCAUAUAGGAUUAAAAAUAAGUGCGAUGAUAGGUGAUUCAUGAUCAAGAUGAACUUGCGUUGUCAAAAGUUAUUGCCGUUCUCACACUUGUCGCAAAGACAGGGUUCGCACUCCAUAAAAUCUAACAAUCGAAACGUAUAGCAAAAAUAAACAACCAUCCGAUAGAUACAAGCAACCGAAUGAAAUAUGUCAUGAUGCUAUGCACAUGAUGAACCUAAAUUUUGUUCCUGUCACAAAUAACUCGUUUAGUGAUUUAAAUCUACGUGGUGAAUUGUUAGGAUCAAGUUCAUGGGGUGUACAACGGAAAUCAUUAAACUAAGCAAGUUUAAUCCAUUUUAAAGCUAGAUUAUACUAACUUCGGUGAUACCAUCAUUUUUUAUACAUAAAAAAAAUUUCUUCUGGUUCCACUGGGUAGAGGGUGCCUCUAAGAAACUUUAAGGGUGGAUAAAUCAUCCAAGAUAAUUAUAAGUCAAAUUUUAAGUGAUUACGUUCAUAGUGGAGCAUUCUGUCACCUGGUCCUGUUUCAGUUGUCCAAAACUGAAAAUAAACUGUGCCAAAAGAUUCUACAUGCCAUGAGGAUUCCAAAAAGGUGCGGAUCAUCAAAUUUGGCCAAACAGUUCAAAAGUUAUGAGUGUUUGAAGUUUCAGGGGUUUUUCUGCAAGUUUACCAUUUAAUUCAUCCGGAAACAAAUUUUACAUUUUAUUACAUUUCCACGUGUCGCGCUGUGAUUCGUCAGUACCGGUUCAUUUAAAUGAUCUAAUCUCGGCCGUUGGCCGAGAUCCAACGGUUCGGGCUCAUCGGGCUCACCUCCGGUGAGGCCUAGGGUUCUGGCAAGUUUCCGGUGGCGGCACGGUUCGGGCAGGGCGGCGGACGGCGUCGGGGGCGGCCUUCGGGCGUCGGGGAAGGCGUCGGCGUGGGCGGCGCGGCGAGGCGGAGACGAUGACGCAGACGGUGCGGCGAGAUGUGGCCGGGGUUGAUGCCUAGGACGACGACGAGCGGCGGCGGCGUCGCGGGAACUCUCGCGAGGACGGGCGGACGGCGUCCCGCUGCUACGGGGCACCAUACACAAAAAGGCUCACGUCAAAACGUGCGUAAGGAGGAGAGGAAGAGGAAAAGGCCGGGCUCUGGGUCUAUUGCUCACCGAUGUGACGACGGCGACCUCGAGAACGGCGGCGGCAGUGGCAACUUCGGUGUGAAAUUGCGGCGGUGUGAGCACGAGGUGGAGUGAGGGUGAGCAGGGGAAAUGGAGAGGGGAGAGCCCUCUUUAUAGUGGCGCGAGGGGGAUCUUAAAGCCGUGCUCUAAAUCGCGCAAUGAACGCGAGGCAUAAAGACGGCACUCGCAAGAUUCGCGGACAGAGCUUGAAGACGACCUGACAGGUGGGUCCCACCUGUCAGUGUCCGUUGGACCAAGGCGGCGGCUGCUGGGCUGGGCUGCGCUGACGGGCUGCUCGGUCUGUUCGCGCGGGCGAGCGCGUGGGGGCCGAGUCGGUUCGGCCCAUUCGGCCGGGCCGGUCUGUUUCCCUUUUUUUUUGUUAUUUUCGUUUCUCUUUUUCUGUUUCUGUUUUUCCUUUAUAACUUUUGAUUUUGAACUCCAAAUGGACUCAAAUAAAUUUCAGAAAAUUUGUAAAAUCAUAUCCUUUAAUGCCAUAGCAUCUGGGACUUGAUUUCCUCCAAAAGAAAAUUAUUAAAAAUAGUUUUGCUUAAAUAAUUGCCUUUAGUGCAACAAUACUUAAAACAAAAUAGUUUUUCAAUUCCAAAAUAAAUUCCAAAAAUUAUGGGGCAGCUUAUCUUAUUGCAUCAAACCCCUUUCUAUUGUUUUCAACCCCAUGGGUUGAUAAAUUCCAAAGAGAUGCAAAGGAAGAUUAGAGAGGUAAAAGCUUAAUAAAAAGAUUUUAAAAUUUAAAUCCUUGAUUUAAAGGUGCUCAAAAUUCAUAUAUGGCAUGAUGUUUAUGAGUGCAAAUGCAUGAUGCAAAGUUUGGAAAAAUUGGGAUGUUACACUUACAAAAACUGCAACUAUCUGAGCAAGCUCAAAUACGUCCAGUAUUCCAUGUGAGUCAACUGAAACAACACCUGGGACCAAGUGUGAUUCCCAACCCCAUUCUGCCCAUGGUCUCAGCGUCUGGCAAAAUAAAAACUGAACCAGCUGCUAUACUCCAACGCAGAAUGAUCCCUCGCAACAAUAUUGCUGUGGUUCAAUGGCUCAUUCAUUGGCAGAACUUGUCGCCUGAAGAAGCUACCUGGGAAGAUGCAACUUUUAUCCAGCGUACCUUUCCCUCAUUUCAGCCUUGAAGUCUGAUUUCAAAGCAGAGAGUAAUGUCAGGAUGCUCUUCUGAAGAUACUGAAUAUCGACACCUUCAGUUGCUAUUGUUGAAUCGGUACCAGGGGAGAAGGCGUAUUCUGCAAACGGCAUGUUCACUUAAAAGUACAUGGGCGUUCGUAGCGCUAAGAUCUUCAUCCAACGGCUGUCUGCAGCUCAGUAACUACCCAGUGUUAAACACUGUUUACCAUCCUUUGCCGUUUCGGUCUAUCUCAGUUUAAAUGCAGUUUAUUUACUGUCUUGUAAGUCAGUUUAUUUCGGUCUGUCUCGGCUUCUAAAACAGCUUCCAGGUCCACAACAGCUCAACCCAAAAAGAACUGGCCCUAGGUGCUUGUGCUUUGUAGUGCAAUUUUGGCUGGAGCUUCUUGUCUCCAGCUAGCCGCAAAUGAGAUGUUUGUUUUAAUUUGUUGGCUUGUUGUUUCUAAAAGCCAAAUAAGCACAAGCUAAAAGAACUCGAUUUCCACCGGCUUUUAGGAGCAGCCCAACCCACAAAAUCCUUCAUAUGAGAAAAGGCUGGUACGAGGCAGCUUUCUGGGUUUUUUAAAAUCCCACAUUUCUUUGCCCCAAAAGAGCACUGUAAUUACAUGAAACAUGCCACCGCGGAUAACGAUUCGCUCGUUCUUUUUCUCCCGUUGUGUAGCCCCUCGCGACCUUCUGCUAUCUCCUCUCCUCCAGUGGCGAUUGGGGAACCUCCACCGCCAGCGCCGCACGCCCGCCCUCCACUGGCACCAAGCGCCCGCAUCUCUCCACUCCUCUCUUCUCCUUCCUCUCGUCUUGCACGCGCAAGGGACCUAGGGUUCCUCACGCACAGAGCCGCCGCCACUAGAAUACGUGGUGCGUCGUCGCUGAAAUCCAUUGGCAUGUCGCCGCCGGCCCGCCAGAAACCAUCUGCCGAUAGUGGGGACUCCGAAUAAGUGCCACUGCUGCCUAAUUGCGGGUCAACGACGUGCUGCUUCGCGAAAUCGUGUGCCGCUGCUGCCCCAACUGUUCGUCGGCCUGCUGUGCUCCCUUGCUGUUUUUGGUGCCUCCCGGAUCGCGAUAGAUGGGAGGAAUCAAUCUCGUGUUAGAAGAGGAAGUAGUUGUGGAUUCUCUUGUAUAGAACUGUGCUUGGGAUCUUCUUCGGUAGCCAAGGAUGAAAACAAUAUUUUGUUUACGGGCAUUAUAGACUUUUCAUUGUCAAACAUAGUGAAUAAGCCCAGUGAGGGAAGCCAAAAAGAACUGGACUAAAAUUUCUCACUCGCUUCUCCUCGUCAUGGUUUUUGUGCGUAGAGAAGCUAAAGGCGUUUCUGGAGAAGCUGAAACUAAAAAGAACUGGCCCCUAUUUUGAUGCUUUUCCUCCUAGCUGGUGACGUGGUUAUGACUAACCUCGUACUCGACUCGAGUAUACCCGUUACGACCCAGUUGGAGGCCCACAAGGAAGCCUACAACGACUCGAGGAGUCUACAUGCCAAAUCUUGUGGCUCAAAAUAAGAAAGAUUAAUUAGAAUAUAUUUUCUUAUUGUAACCGACUUGGACUCUACCUUACACCUGGGUUCCUACAUAUAUAAAGGACCAGGAGGGGGAGCCAAGAGGACACCCCCAACUUAGAUAGUAGUCGCCUAGACGCACUCAUCGACUAUGUGCAUCUAGCCUCUGCGGCACCCCAUUAUAAUCGACUCUGCAAUACAGAUCAGACAAGCAGGACGUAGGGGUAUUACCUCAUCAAGGGCCCUGAAUCUGGGUAAAUCGUGUCCCCUGUGUCCUUGUUAGCCGACGAGUUCGCCAACACAAACUCGAAAUCUUUCCUAAAUACAAGUCCAUCAAUAUGAACAUUGUCGAAACCACCCCUUCGUCAUUGGCGCCGUCUGUGGGAUAGAUGUGUGUUGGAAACACGACCUUGGUGGUUCCAGAUUCCUUAAACCCGUCGUUGACUCAGGCGGAGUCGAUGACCUUCGGGUCCUUCCAUUUUACCGCUCACCCCCAGCCAGCCGUGCGGUAUUCAACGUGCUUGAUGCUGGCGUGGAUCUCGUGUUCGGGGAGUUCCAUCUUCGAGCCGACCGAACCGGCAUCCUUUGACUGCCAGAUCUGACUGCUCCAACUCUGGAGAAGUCACUUCUUCCGUCACCUUCAGGAAAGGUCUCGCCGACAGAUUCGGCGGAACCACUCGACAAAGCAGAGCAAGUCUCCCUCGGGACUCCCUCUGGAGUCGAAACAAAUCCGCCUUGUUGUGCAGAAAGCCCCGUCCCUAGCGACGCUGGCGACUGCCCGGAACAAGAAAGUUGCCAUAGCAGCAGCGAUCUUGCGCCCAAGCGCGCCAUCGCCCAAGUCUUCAUGACAAACCCCAUCACCUCGACUCCUCCAACUGCGGAUACAAUCGUAAACCCGCAAGGUGGACAUUCAGCAGUGGAGAAGUCGUGGGUUCAAGCAGCCCUCGACUCAGGAGUCCUCAUGAAUGACCCAACUCCUGCAGAAUUGAAAUUGUAUGCAAAUUCCUUGGCCAGGAAUCGCUUCAACUUGAUCAAAGAAAAAGAAGAGUUUGUUAAGCAGCAGAAACACGAAGCCGACAAACUUAAGAAGAUAGAAGAGGAACCUCAAGCGUCUGUGAAGGCUCGGCCGGAAUCAUCUGACACUUCGGACAAAAGCGCUCUCCCUCUUCGAAACACUCAUCGCGGGUCCCGUUUCUAUAAACUGCCCGAGAAAGACAGAACCCACGCGGUUCGCGAUUUCUCCUCAAGCUUCCUGUCAGCAGACGACCGCAACGAUGCGACGCUUGGGAUUACUGAAGAGGCACUUCGUGCGGCGAGUACUUAUCUACAGUCAAUCUCACUACCCGACAAUGACCCACGCUGGCGCUUCCGCGAGCAAAUCCUAAAAGGGUUGGCUAAAGCAAGAGCUUGGUGCAUUAAGCAAAACCCAGCGGUUCUACCCAUAAGGAUAGCGAGCCUAAGCGUGAUCGUCGACUGCCCGACUCGGGGCAAAACGAGCACAAACAAAACCCUCGCAGAAGGAGUCAAUCUCCUCGCCGAGUCGUUAGCCGCCCAACCGGCUACAGGUAGAACUCUCCUGAGUCAAACCAUGAAACAUGUGGAGCACCAUGUUUCAGCCGUCGGAUCCGCCGAACCAGGAUGCCAAGAAACUUUAAGCCGCCAGCUGACCUGGUCAAAUAUGAUGGCACGCAGGAGCACAGAAACUGGUUGGGAGGACUACCUCACCGGGAUUCGAUGCCAGGGUGGAACUCGAACCACCGCUAUGCAGUGUCUUCAACUCCAGCUCAGGGGUCCGGCUCGCACCUGGUUGAACAGCUUGCGCGACGGCGAUCUCACUACAUGGGAUGAGCUGGUAUAAGCUUUUACGCGCAAUUUCAAUGCCACAUAUAAGCGACCAGUAUCUCUCGAACAACUUCGAUCGUGCGUUCAGCGCGAGGGAGAGUCUAUCCGCUUCUAUAUCCAGCGAUGGACCAACUCGAAGCACGCCUCCAAAGAAAUCUCAGAUGAAAGCGCUAUAGAUGCAUUCAAACGAGGUCUUUGUCGAGUUGAGCUCAAAGAAGAAUUGGGUUGCGUUCGACCUUCUACCUUCUACCACCAGGUAUCUGAUGGAAAUCGCCAACCGAUGGGCUGAACGCAAGAAUUUUGUGAAAACACGCCCGCCUCGUCCCCGACUGUGCGUGUAAUUUUUUCAGAAAGCCCCCAGCCGCAUGCAUCUCUCUCAACUCCUGAAGUCCCGAUUUCCCCACAGCGACCAAACCUCUCGUAGUAGACGCCGAGAUCAAUCGCCUCAUGGCGGCCGGCCACCACAGCCAGAGAUGACAGAAUCUGAUUGGAUGGAGAUUGAGAGAACCUGCUUGCCCUCCCCUCUCCCGAGUUCAGGAUGCAACAUGGAGUAAAAACUCUGCGCCCCCUGAUCUCCCGAGACUAAUCGCCUUUGCCCUUCUCAGUUUCCCAAAACUCUGCGCCACCUGCAGAUCGUGAGUUCACUUGGACACAUGGGAGUUUUAGAUAACACAACAAAAAUGAAUUCAGUCUUAGCAUACAUCGUACAUGUGUGCUUGUUGUCUAAUAUUUUAAAAUCAUGUGACUGUGCAGGUAGAGGAUCAGCUGGUAGCUUGCAGCCUCAGAUGAAAGAGGGAGAAUUUAGUACGCCCAUGCAUAAAGAAACUAAGCAUUCCUCUAUUUGUAAGUUUAAUAGUCCUUCACUGCCAUUGUGAUAUUCAUUUUAACAGAAUUAUGCAUAAAUGUGUUUACCAUGAUUGAUUAUUUAUGUUUCAAUGUUCGUCUUUUACACUCAAUUGAAGGGCUGGAGGCUGUGGAGGAGUUCAACAAGUCUUAUGAUGGCUGAAGAUCAUGUGGGUUUUGGAGUAUGUAUCAGACAACAGAAGAAGUUGGGCAAUGCGGUAGUUCGUACAAAGCGCUUCAUGUGCAAUAGGGAAGGAUUCAAAGCCGAAACAGGUGAAGAGACUGAAGACCCUUAAAGAGAAGGCAUAAGAAUACAACCACAGAGACAUGCAGCAGAAUGGUGUUUUAUGACUUCAUACACCUAUGAUUUAUUAGUACCAUUUCAGUUUCAGGGAUUAAUACCAGAAAAAUUUAUGUACUGACUUUUUGUAAUAAGUGAGAACUUGUGAUUUUGUCAAAUUGAUUUCAUAUUUUUGUCUGUUAGUUGACGCAUAUGGAAUGGAAAGAAACAGACCAUGAUGCUUCUUCAUGGUCAGAAAUAUAGCAAUUUUUUGUGAGUCUGUGAGCUCAACAUUUUGCUCUAUUGCAUCUCAUCGAUUUAUCAGUUAUUUGGGCUGUUAGCUGCUAGCAGCAGCAGAGCAUCAUGCUUCUCCUUUUUUUUUUAAAUAUAGACAGCCUUUUAUUCUUUGAACUAUUUGUUACAUCAGGAGCUCAGAUUCACAACAGAGCCUCAUACAAUGAUACAUAUCUAGCAACCUGGUUAGCUGAUCUAACUAACACCGUCCAUUAACAAUUCAAAAGAAAUACACUCAAAGCGAGCUGAUUUGAUGUCUUCGCUGCAUGAUGACCUGACCAAGUUCAGACAAUCUGAUGCUAUGGCCACCUUCUUCUAUUUUUUCUGAAUGUAUCGCCGUACCAAAUUGCAGCAUGUAUCGCCAAGGAACACCUAAGAUUACAGAACCACAUUAGCCUCAACAAUUGCAUUCACCGAAAAGAAACAAAGUUACUAUUGUUUCUGAAACUUUCACUCACGAGCAGUACACCAGCUAGUGAAUGUAUAGUAGCAGAAGCUGCAUGUAUCAGGUGCAAAAAUUCACCACCAGCAAGUCGGACUAGUAAAUUAAAUUGCAACAUGUAUCAGUCAAGUAACACCUUACAACACAACUUCACAUCCAGACAUUCAGUUCCUUCAGAAAAAGUUUACUCACCAACACAUGUUAGUCGCGUCUGAAACAAUUCACAGUAGAAAGAGCAAGAACUAGCUAUGUUAAAUAAGAAUAGUUGUGGCCCUAGCAGCAGAGCGAGGGAGGUCGCCGUCGCCCUCAGGAUGUGGUCGCCCGCGGCGCCGGCCGCUUACGUAGGUCCGGUCAAAGGCUGAUGGCGGAUUGGCGGGGCGAGGUGGAGCUUGCCAUCGCCGGAAUCCAAUGAUAGCCAAAUCCUGAGAUUGUUGGGCUUGUUGGAAAUCCGGUGAUUGUUGGGUCGUUUGAAUCGGGGCAACGGGGGUAUCACCAUGGUCGAAUCGUCGGUGGGGAAUUUGGGGGAGACAGGAGGCAGGAGUGCAGGCAAGAAGAAUUUUGCUGGGGCCUGGGGGCGUUCCUGAAAAUUUACCACUACUAGGCGUCUAGGCUGGACGAGGCGGGGCGUGUUUUCGCAAAUUUCCCCGCGAGGCGUUGGAGUCGCACGAUUUUGAUCGGAAUGGAUGCAGGGAUGCAUUUAGACCAAGGAUUCACACAAUACGAGCCACUCAUUUUAUACGUAUCACGAUCUUUUUAGUAUGCUUGAUUGGUCAAGAUAAUUGUAUUUUUCAAAAAUAAUAUUUUAACAUAUUUUUUAUUUAUCAAAAAUUUAAAAAUAUGAACGAUGCAUAUUUAAACGACUCAUGCAUAACACAAUUAUCAACUUCGUAGCAGAGCACGGACAUUUAGCUAGCUAGUUCAAAUAACAUCCGAGCCUAAGCCUUCUCUCUCACUUGUUUAUUCUACGCCACGUCAUUUAUUCUACGCCACGUCAUCAGCAGGGGCGGAGCCAGGCCUGGUGCUACCUAUGCUGUAGCACCGGCCUGGCAAGGAUGCUCACAAGAGGAUUCAUCAAGUAUUUAGUUGUAAAAUCCAUAAAUAUAGCACCGUUAGUCUGUCUUAGCAUCCUUGUCCGGUUUCUGGCUCCGCCGCUGGUCAUCAGGCCGUUGUUCGGCCCGAACUGGGGGCGCGUCAACCUGUGGGCGUGUUGCCCUUGCCCUGUUUUGCUUGCCGAAACUUCCGCCUUGGCCAAAACAGCUGCUGCGUAACCACGGGAGCGGGGAGCCGCGUUCUUCUUCUCCCGGCGCACUGAUCCGAAGGGCGUCGUCUCCUGCAAAAGUGAAAACCACGGCGCCGGCGGCCGCUCCCAAAUCCAGGACGCCCACAGACAGCGAGACAGCAGCCUGGUACAGAGUCGUCAUCUUUAAAGCAAAGCAGUCUCCUCUUCUUGACCUCUCGCCCAGCCCAUUCCCACCCGUCGCCGAUCGCACUCGCAACCAGUAGCUGAAUCCGGGUCCUGGGAACCUAGCUAGCUCUCUCCAAUUGUACCUACAUCCACAUGGCAUCUGCCGACGCCGCAGCCGGGCGCCGUCGCUGCAUCGUGGUGGCCGUGGACGAGAGCGAGGAGAGCAUGCACGCGCUCUCCUGGUGCCUCGCCAACGUCGUCAGUACCCAAGACACGCUCGUGCUCCUCCACGCCCGGCGCCCGCAGCCCGUGUACGCCGCCAUGGACAGCGCAGGUACGUACGCGCAUAUAUACAUGGUAUCCAGAUGGUUGACGAGUGUUGUUGUAGUCAGAGGAAAUGGACUACGGACGAUGCGCAUGUUGUAAGCAGGGUAUAUGAUGACUUCGAACGUGCUGGCGAGCAUGGAGACGCACGCCAACGCCGUGUCGGCGGCAGCGGUGGACAAGGCCAAGCACAUCUGCGCCACCACGCUCCCAAAUGUAGGAAUUAUUAGUUUGCUGAUCCAAUAUAAAGUAACUGAUUGAUUUUCAUGCGUGCUCGGUCCAGAAUUGUUCAUGUACUGAUGUACCAGUUUGGUUUGAUCAUCGGUCGGUGUGUACCGGCGCAAUUCUGAUGUAUGUGCAGAUGAAGGUGGAGACGGUGGUGGAGGGCGGGGACCCGCGGAAUGUAAUCUGCGACGCGACUGACAAGAUGAGCACGGAUCUGCUGGUCAUGGGCAGCCAUGGAUAUGGCCUCAUCCAGAGGUAUAUAUACCACUCACUAAUCGCUUUAUUUCUCAAUUGGUUUCCCGUUGCAUCAAUCUCUGUUUUUUUUUUCUGUUUUUUCUCUUUAUUACUGUCCUAAAUAGCUGAAACUCCCUUCCAGAUGUUCUCAGCUGAAUAUAGCAUCGAUCAUUCAUUGUUUUUCUUAGCCAAUUAACUGAAUUUUCCAGAUAACUCAUUACCUAGUUUUAUCCUUAGCAUUGUACUUGCACUCUGCUUCAAUUUUCGUGACCAUUCUCAUGUGGGUGUAAAUCGCAGGGCAUUCCUUGGCAGCGUAAGCAAUCACUGUGCACAGAACUGCAAAUGUCCAGUGCUAAUUGUCAAGAGGCCUAAGGAGUAACCCUAGCUCCAAUACUAGCUAGAGCUGAAUUAAUCAGUGCCGAACUAGUCGAUCGGGUUGAACGGUACAAGGAAGAACCUGUUUCCGCGCAGACAUUUAAUCUAGGCCGUCAAAAUCUUUGAGAUCUGUACUGUUUUCAGAUGUUUUUUUUUUCUUUGAGACCUGUCCUGUUUCAGAUGUUUAUUUUAGUAUGUCUCUCUUCCGGAAAUUCCAAACAGAGCUCGGGCGACAGGUAGCUCGCUUUCCCUGUUGUCCACCUUCUCGUGCUACCUCCGUUCCUUCUAUUACAUGUGGCUGCACGUUUUUUAAGCAUAUAUACAUUCAUAUUUAGACGAAUUUGAGUCACUUAAUAUGAGACGGAGAGAGUAUGUAUUUAUCCCGUAUUUCUCAAUUCCAACAGUUACCUGGCCCAGGUCCCAUUUUGAAUUUUGUCAGUCUGUCCCUAUUCUUCGCAGCUUCCAAUCUGGGCCAAAUUAAGGUUCCCGUUUUUUAUUUUAUUUUUACUGGAUUUGGUCCAUACGCUUAGGUCUAGAUUCUGAGCCUAAGUAGAAACAUGUGCCAAACUGGUGAUGUUUUUUGUGCUAGAUUCUCAAUGAAAUUUUGUGUUUUUCCUAACAAUAAUAUAACUCUCAUAAUUUCAAAAUUGCAGCCCAAAGUUAACGAAUUGAUUUUUUUGGUUUCUCCCAAAAAUAUGUUGUUGGACCAUUUCGAAAUUUCUGGAUUUGGCCCAGGAUUUGGUUAUACAAACUUGGACCUAUUCAAAUGUUCACAUUUUGGCACAUGAGAACAAAAGUAGAUCGAUCCAGAUUUGCAACUUUGCAUGGACUAAGACAUGUCCCAUGGCACAUGCUAGUUCGGCGGGAGCAAUUUUUUUUUGUUUAUCUCAAAAUUUAUGGACGAACCAUUUGCAUUAAAAAUGACCUCAAAAUUUGCAUGGACGAAACAAUUAUUUUUACUUGUCAGUUCAACAAUCUUCACGGACGAACCACUGCAUCAUGAAGAAAAGGAUUUUGGACAAAGUAUUCACGGAACUAGUCCUGAUUUUUUACCCUAUUGUAUACCUCAUGUUUUUUUUUAUGUGAUACUAUAUACAUCAUGCCCUCUCUAGGGGUUCAUUUGGUUGCGUGGACAGGGGUGGAUGGGACAAAGAUAGCCAUUUUUUUAGGGAUAUCCUGUGUUUGGUUGGAAGGAUAGGAUGGUUGGUAGCAUGCAUGUAUGGGUUCGGAUAUUCCCAGCUCGCACCGGUUUGCGGUUGUUUUGUAGCCUGCAUGGAGACUUAGGGCAUGCUCAACCUAGCAAAGGUCUCUCCAACAUGCCUGAGAGGGGACCUCAAAUUGAGCUUCGCUGCUCUACGUGCGUAGUUCGACCCGAAAAACUUCUCAAUCCCCACAUGCCCCCUUGACCAAGCUAGGGUUACCUCCCCUCACCUCCUUCCUCCUAUCAAGAUGUCUUUCUCCUCCCAAUCCUUUCCUCAAUCCCUUCCUAUGGUCCUCUGCACCUCGAACUUCUCUCUGCUAGGUCUUCUCUGCAGUUGUCCCGUCACCGCACUAGUCAAAAUCCAUGGCCGCCGAGUCAGCCGGCAAGGUCUGCCGCUGUCAACUGAGCUGUGCAGCAUUUUGCGCCCCGCCUCCAAGCCGGUUGACAAGAUCCACCGCCGCUUCGUGGGCCGACAAGGUCCGCUACCACCAGCCCGAGUGGUGCGGCACCAUGCUGGUUUAGCUAACAAAUUUUUUCUUGUUUUUUUGCAUAUCUUUUGAAAGUUUAAAACAAGUUUAGCGCAAAACAUUUCAACAGUCACAAACUAAGCCUUAGUUAAACUAAUAAAAGAACAUGAUUCAAAUUUGAACGCCUUCACUCCUACAUGCGCAACUGGUUAAUGCUGAACAGUUUCUAGGGAAAAAAAACUUAAACAUAUUUUUUACUCGUUUGGAGCACAUAAUCUUUUUCCUGAAACCAUGUGAAAUCCCUAUGAAAUAAAAUCCUGCGUUACAAAUAUACGUUUGUUUCAUUGCUCUGACCCUGCUGAGGCUGAAUCGUGUGCGUGCAUGGAGGGAGGCCAUGCAGUGGUGUCAACUCCGUGUUAGCCAUAUUCUAGCGAACAUUGCUAGGAAGGAGCAACUCACCUUUGUUUGCCUGGGCUUUUGGUUCAUUAGCUGCGAUGGAUGCGGUUCUCUGAGAUUGUAUUGCUUUGCCAGUUUAAUCUAAAUCCCCGUUUACCUGUAAAAAGACAUACACUCAUUUCCAUUCUAAUGGUUAGGGCUAUUUUAAAUGGCCCAAAGAGUAUGGCCUCGAGUGCAAGCAGAACAUCCUCCAACUGCUCUUCUAGGCACUGGGUGUCUGGGUCUACCACUAGUAAGCUGUAAGAGCAACUCUAGAAGAUACCGAAAACAAGUGAACCGGACUUGUUUUGCAAUUUGACCGAAAUUUUCGUCCCAAACAGAUACCAUAAAGUGGCCUGGCCUGGAAAAAUUAGUUCGGGGUACCAAAUCCGAAUCCCGCCGCCAUCCCCUCCACCACCCCAAAAACCCCUUUCCCAUCCCCUCCGGCGCUUUCUCUUCUUCUUUGGCGAGCCAAUCCAAAUUUGUCGUGCCAAUGUGACGGUAAACCGCUCCGCCGCCACAGGGGCCAGAUGCCUUCCUAGCGUCGACGGGGAAGCCCUAGCAGCGGAGGGCGAGGGCGGCGCGAACGACGACGAGGAACAUGCGUGGGAGUAUACGUGGGCAUGGGUGGCCCGGCCUUGUCCGAAGCCCGAUGUCUCGGACCGGGCUCAGGCUUCACUUUUCAGUCCCAAGCCCGGCCCGAAAGCCCGAAAUGACUAAAAACGGGUAUUCUUUUAAGAAAAAUAGGUAUAAAAAAUCACUUUUUAUUCCGAAAGUAAUUAUUUUAAUGCUAAAUGGUCAUUUCUCGGGCUUCGGGCCGGGCCGAGCCCGGGCUUGAGGUUUUUCCGUCGGGCUUUAUGAAGCCCGGCCCGGGGUUUGCCCAGGUAUACGUGGGAGGAGGCUGGUACCGCAGGGAGCUCAUCCGCCACCGUGCGCACGCCGCUGCUAGAGGAGGCAGAAAGGUCCCGCGUGGCCGGCGAUCUGCUCCUCCUCCUCCUCCUCCUCCGGCAAGGAGGUGUGCUCCAUCGACAACGAGAGCCGCGGGAGGACGACAGCCGACAUCCAACUCGCUUUGGACCGGUCCAUUGAGAAGGCCAAGCCAGAGGUCAUCGUCAUCUCCAACAAUGAGUAGGCGGCAUCGGCGGAGGAGAAGAAGCCGGCGUGGAGGAGCUCAUUUUGUUUUUUGUGAUGCAUUGCUUCUCGGUUUUAGUACUCCCUCCGACCCCAUAUUACAUGUCUCAAAUUUGCCCAAAUAUGGAUGUAUCUUUGUUUAAAAAACGUAUAGGUACAUGUAAUAUUUCAACAAGUAAUUCCGGUCGGAGUAAGUAUUAGUUUUUGUAAAACUUAAAAUUAUGUAUGCAAAAGAUGUUUGUGAUGAAAUAUAUGAUGUUGGUAUGAAAUGUGUGAGGUGUUUGUGUUGUUUAAAAUUCGCACGAAGAUGCACUCCGUAUUUCAAAUCAGUUCGUUUUUGCGGGAUCUAUUCUGCCAUACGCUGGGGCGUACUGAACUUUUGGUACGUGCUAGUGUUGCUCUAAGCUGACCCAGUAUGCAGUGAUUAAUCAAUCUAUUUGUACUCGCAGCAUCACACCUUCGCAGGGGACCGGUCAUUUGAGAGGUUUUUACAGGAUAUUGUAAAGAGCUCCGUCAUUCUCCAUUUUUUUUGUUCCUUUUGAAGUCUGCUUCGUCAAUCUACCAUUCUCCCUUGUCUUAGAGUUAGCUGCCUCUGUCAUUUCCCUGUGCAGAUCGAGAAUGCAUGCUAUCUACUCCGAUUUUCCAUCUUCCCUUGACCAUUAGGUUCUUCCGAUCAAAUUAACACUAUAAAAUUCUCCACUUCUGUGUACUUGGGUGGUGGAAUUGCUUAGUGCGGGAGCACGAGCUCGAUCGACAAUGGAGUUGCCUAGUGCAGCGAUGUUUCAGGAGCUCUUCGUCUUAGCGAUCCUCUACGCCGCUCUCCACUACCUCGCACGGGCCAUUCUGCCGGCCAAACGGGCCGCGGGCCAUGCAUCGCCCCCGCUGCCGCUGCCUCCGGGCCCGCGAGGCUACCCCGUGGUCGGCGCACUGCCGCUGCUGGGCCGCGCCCCGCACCGGGCACUCGCCACGAUGGCGAAGCUGCACGGCCCGAUCAUGCACCUGACCCUCGGCCGGCAAGGCGUCGUGGUGGCGUCCACGCCGGCAGCGGCGCGCCUCUUCCUCAAGGAACACGGCGCCAGCUUCCUGGACCGCCCCACGGGCGACGCAGCGCCGACGCUCUUGGCGUACGGUGCCCAGGACCUCGUGUUCGCGCCCUACGGGCCCAGGUGGCGCCGGCUACGGCGCGAGUGCAGCAUCGGCCUCCUGGGCCCCCAGGCGCUCGUCAACUGGGCCGACACGCGCCGCGAGGAGGUGGGCCACAUGGUCCGGGCCGUGCUGGCCCGGCGCGGCGAGGCCGUGGAGGUUCCCGAGUUCCUGUUCUGCGCCAUGGCCAACAUGAUCGGGCAGGCCGCGGUGGGCCGGCGCGUGCUCGACGACGCGGGCGGCGAGGCCACGAGGGAGUUCAAGGAGAUGGUGGUGGAGCUCAUGACUAGCGCGGGGCUGGUGAACAUCGGCGACUUCGUGCCGGCCGUGGCGUGGAUGGACCUGCAGGGGCUCGUGCGGAAGAUGCGGCGGCUGUGGACGAGGCUGGACCGGGUCUGGGCCCGGCUGCUGUCCGAACACGAGGAAGUCAUGGCUGCCAGGCAGCAAGAGGGGGCCCGCCGGCUGGACCUUGUGGACCGGCUGAUCGCCUGCCGCCGCGAAGCAGGGGAGGAGUACGGCGUCACGGACCUCAACAUCAAAGCUCUCCUCAACGUACGUACUCCACCCAUCCACUUUAAACCAUGGAUACAUUUGUCCAUCGAUUGCAUGUUUCUUUGUUGACUCCUGUGCGUACGUACGUAGAACGUGUUCACGGCGGGGACGGACACGUCGUCCAGCACGAUCGAGUGGGCGCUGGCGGAGAUGCUCCUGAACCCGGCGAUCAUGCGACGGGCGCAGGCCGAGAUGGACGCCUUAAUCGGCCGAGACCGUCUCCUCCGGGACUCCGACACCCCGAACCUCCCCUACCUCCACGCCAUCUGCAAGGAGACCUUCCGCAAGCACCCUUCCACGCCGCUCAACCUGCCGCGGGUCUCCACCGAGGCGUGCAACGUGCAAGGGUACCACAUCCCCAAGGGCACGAGGCUGAUCGUCAACAUAUGGGGGAUCGGGCGGGACCCGGCGGCGUGGCCGGACCCUACGAGGUUCGACCCCGAGAGGUUCAUGACGGAGCAGGGGAAGAAGGUGGAGCCGAUGGGGAGCCACUUCGAGCUCAUACCGUUCGGCGCGGGGCGGCGGAUGUGCGCGGGCGCGCGCAUGGGGGUCACGCUGGUGCACCACAUGCUGGGGGCGCUCGUGCACGCCUUCGACUGGGAGAUGCCGGAGGGCGCGGCAGGGGUUAUGGACAUGGAGGAGGAGUUCGGGCUCGCGCUGCAGAAGAAGGUGCCGGUCAGGGCCGUCGCGCGCCCGCGGCUGGCAGCCAGUGCCUAUGAGUGAACGAUCGAGGCGGCCCCGUGUACGUACGUCGCGGCCCCGUGUGCGUGUUUAUGCACGGUAUUCUAUCUGUGCGCGGUGAUCCAGAUGAGAUGCAUGCCGGUGCUUGAGGCGCCCUUUGAAUAAUCAAUUUCUUUUUCUGACACCGCCCCUAGAAUAAUCAAUCAAUGUAGCGGGUGGUGCUUGUUAUUACGAGACUUAUCUCUUUGAUCAGGAGAAAAAGUGAACUGAACCAUUCGGGUAUUUUCGAUGGGCUCGAUAAUCCAUUCCUCACUGUUUAGGGUUUCUUUGAUUCACAGGAUUGGAAAAUAGAGAAUAGGAAAAUAGAGGAUUGUAAUGUCAUUUUCCUUUUAUCACUAUAGGUUUUGUUUGCACAAAAGAUUUGUUUCAAGAGAUUGGAGCAGACGUAAAUUUUCUAUGAAAUGCAGUACAAAUGAAUACUUGGAAAGAAAUCCUAUAAGAUUCAAUCCUAUGAAUCAAAUUACCAACACAGAAAAAAAAAACCUAACAACCCGUUUGGAUGUUGGUAUUUAAGCUCGGAAUUGGGAAUUGGAAUUAGGGUUCUUCAAUUAUGUUGUUUGGCUGUUCGUGGAAUUCACGGAAUUCCUUGGUAUUCAACUAUAACUAAAACAUGCCUCUAGCAACUCCAAGCCUUACCCAUCUGUAUUGCGGGGAAUUCGUUGUUGCUGUAAAUCGAAGCCUACAAGCAGCCAUGGCCUUGGGAGGCUCCCUGUUGCCCGCAGCCGGCUCGUCGUCAUCCGCCUCCGCCGCCCGCAGCCAGCCUGUUGCCGGCCUCCGUCAGCGCCUCGUCAACGUCCCUCUCUGCCGCCUGCAGCACGCCACCCUGUUGCCAGCCAUCUUCGUGGCCCACAGCUUCCCUGUUGCCUGCCGCUGCCCUGUCAUCGUCCCUCUCCGCCACCUGCAGCUAGCCAUCCUGUUGCCAGCCAUCUUCGCGGCCCCUAGCUUCCCCGUCGCCUGCCGUUGCCGCCGUCCAUCUGAGCCGCAAGUAGCCGCCCCGCCGCGGUAUCUUCACUCCGGGAGUCUGAUGGGUUCAUUGCAAGGAAAACAAAAAAUUUCCUACGAGAAGUGCGGAAGAAACCUAAGAUCAUAUCUGCUAGAUGUAACUAAUGAGAGGGAUUGUGAGCAUCAUACUCUCGUAGACCACAAAGCGUUACGAUCACGGGAUCGUUGUUGGCGUAGUGGAACUUUCGAUGAGAUCAAUCUCAAUGCGGAACCGACGACACCUCCUUGGUAUCCACACAUUCAGCUUCACGUCGUCUCCUCCUUCUUGAUCCAGCAAGCGAGGGGAAGAGGUCGAUGAGAUUCCAGUAGCACGAUGGCGUGGUGGUGGCUAUGGUGGAGAGCUCCGCGGGCAGGACUUCGCUGCGCGAGAGAGGAGGAGGAGAGGGGUUCAGGGAGAGAGAUCUAGCUGAGUGGUUGGUGUGUUCUCUCUCCUUGCCCCUCACCUCUAUUUAUAUAGGGGGUGGUGGCCAGGGUUUGCCCCUCCUCUAAGAAGGAGCUAGAGCCGGACAGGGGAGGGAAAGGAGUCCCGGGAAGGACUUCCUCCCCAUGAACUCCCUCUCCACGUAUGGUGGAGUUGUUCCUUCCCUUUUCCCCUAACGUGCCUAGGCCCAUUAGGGGAUUAAUUACUAUAGAGGUCUAAUUAAAUUCUCAGGAAUAUUCUGAAACAUUCCAGAACCAUUUGAGAACUUCUGGAACCUUCUAGAACAUUCCCGAUCGAUACCGGAAAAUAUCCCAAACUUUUCCAAAACCCUGAAACAGCUUUUCCGUAUAUAAUUAUUUAUCUCCGGACCAUUCCGAAGCUCCUCAUGAUGUCCAGAAUCCCAUCCGAGACCCCGAAUCAUAAUUCGAUAUCACCAUCUUUAAUCUCAUCGAACCCUAGCAACAUUAAGCGUUAAGUGUGUGACCCUACGGGUUCGAGAACAUGUGGACAUGACCGAGACACCUCCCCGAUCAAUAACCAAUAGUGGGACCUGGAUGUCUAUAAUGGUUUCCACAUAUUCCACGAUCUCAUCGGUUGAACCACGAUGUCAAGGAUUCAAUUAAUCCGGUAUCCAAUUUUCUUUGUCUCGUGAUAUAUUACUUGCCCAAGAUUUGAUCGUCAGUAUCACCAUACCUAGUUCAAUCUCGUUAUCGGGAAGUUCUCUUUACUCGUACCGCAUUAUAAUAUCCCAGUGACUAAACACAUUAGUCACAUGCUUGCAAGCUCAUUAGGAUGUUACAUUACCGAGAGGGCCCAGAGAUAUUUCUCUGUCACAUGGAGUGACAAAUCCUACUCUUGAUCCAUACAACCCAACAAGCACCUUCUGAGAUACCUGAAAAACACCUUUAUGAUCACCCAGUUACGAGAUGACGGUUGAUGUCCACAACGUAUUCUUCUGAUACUAGGGAGUGGCAUGAUCUCAUGGUCUAAGGAAAUGAUAUUUGACAUAAUAAAAGCAUUAGCAAUUUAAACUUAAGUGACACGAUCAAAAGCUAUGCUUAGGUUUUGGUCUGUCCAUCAUGUCAUUCUCCUAAUGACAUGGCCUCGUUAAUAAAUGACAACACAUGUCUAUGGUUAGGAAACCUUAACCAUCUUUUAAUCAACGAGCUAAUUUAGUAGGCGUAUUAGGCACACGGUAUUUGUUUAUUCAUCCACACAUGUAUUUAGUUUCGUGUCAAUACAAUUAUAGCAUGGAUAAUAAACAUUUAUCAAGAACAAGGAAAUAUGAUAAUAACAUAUUUAUUAUUUCCUCUGAGGCGUAUUUCCAACAGAGUCCUCCUCCAGCGAGACCACUCCCACACGGUGGUGCUCCCUUGCAGCUAGGCGCUGGUGCUCGGCCCUAAUGUGUUGCGAUCAGGUGAGCAAUUUCAAUGGCUUAAUUCAAUGGGCACCCAAACAGAAUUUUGGAAUCAGUUGUUCUUUCGAUUUCAUUAGCAAUUGUUUUCACAACCAAACAUCAAAAUUGGUAUUGGAACCCAAUUCAACUUGUUGUAGUAAAAUAAAACCCUUAUAUGGGCCGGGCCGUAAAUCCUACGUAGCGACGACUAAGUCAACAUUUCCCAAGCAUGAGUCAAGACGCCCAUGUGGCGCGGUGAAUCCUACGUGGCAAAGAAAGACAAGUCAAAAAGUCAAACCUCUCAUGCCAUGGUCAAAUGGUCAAAUGAAGUAGAAUAGGGGGCAAGAAAGGUGUGAGGAGCGGGCCCUUAGUCCAUGGUGGACCAUGGACCAAGCCCCACUUUUCUCACAUGGUGCAUACAAAAGCUAUGAACCAAGAAACUAGUUUUACCACUUUUCUCUCUCCCCAAAGGUAGCCAUGGUCUUUUGUCAUGGACCCCUAGGUUAUAAAUACCCCCCCCAUUGGGGCAUGUACCACUCACACUCACUUGAAUAAACUCAAGGGGAGAGGGAUAGAGUACUCCCUCUAAGGUUCGCUCUCGCGCGCCGCUCUCGACUGUAAGUCGAUCGGCCUCGAGGAAGCCUUCUAGGGGACUCUAGUUUUGAGGCUCCAAGCUAACCUUGGUUGGCACGGGCUCGAAGGAGAAGGGGUUGGUUAGAGUUUCGAGGGUAUCCUAACCUCGAUACUUGGAAAGACGCGUUCGGUCCAAGUACGAGGCGGCCCCGAUGAAUCUCUCGCUAAAAGGUGUCUUGGGAAGAUCCGCUCGGCCCAAGCCCUUGGCUAACAACCCCUCGAAGCUUUUCCCAACAUAGGAUUAAGUCGCACCCGCAGGGUCGGCCGAACCUAUUCAAAAAAUAUCGACGUGUCAACUUGUCCAAGUGUACGGCGACCUUCGCUAUAAGGCCGGCGUACACGCCCUAUUUUUAUACCCGCACUUGUGCCAUCGAGCAUUGGCACCCCUUACUCUAAUUGUUAUCAAGAACGAUAACAGUGGUGCCGACCGUGGGGAACCCUCGCCGCAAUUGAAGAUUUAAUGGCCCCGACGAAGCCUACUUCAUUGGGUCCCCAACUUGCCGCGAAGUCUACACGGUUCCAAACUGCCUCGGGGGCUCCCGAGGAAGAAGGAAUCGUCACCAAUCCGAACGUCGCCGCAAGCAUGGUGAAGCGAUCCUCCCCCUUACUAGGGUUCGAUCUCUGUGCUUAGGGUGCUAGUCCCUGGAUCGACUCACUAGCACACACAGUUUCAUGAUGAAGUAUACAGAAACAAAGGUCAAAAGUAUUUUAUUACAUCGCAUCAUCCUGAAUUUAAAUAGUACUUACAACCUCGCAUGACCUCUUGGGCCAGCAUAAAACAAAUACCGUUUCAUCAUCAUAAAACAAUGUUUCAAAACUACAGCGGAAAAGGGUAGCACAAAAGGGCCUCAACUACUCCAAGGUGAGUGCAUGUUGGAAUGUAAGCACAUGACACAUGACAAAACGACGAACCUCACUCAUCGUCGGAUCCACCUGCAUUGUUAAUUGCAGCCACUACGUGGUCAAUACAUUUGAAUGUAUUGGCAAGUUCACCAGAGUAGACCUACCAAGUACAUGCAUAAUUUGGCUAGGUGGAGUCUAGCUGUUUGCAUAAAAGCAUCAUGGUUCAAUCCUAUCAUUUUUAAACAAAUAGUUUUGAAUUCUAUUGGACACGGGAUAGAAACACCCAUGCUCCUAUUAACCUAGGCACAUUGAGUAGAAACAUCAAUGCUCCUACCCAGUUCAAACCAUUCAUUUUACUAGGAAAUUGGAAUGAGUGAGACCUUCCUUACAGUCCCAAUAUCUAGUUGCUCAUAAUUGUCCGUAACCGGGGACACGGUUAAGUACUUAGUUUGACACUCUCGAGAGGUGGUACACUUUACCCACAAGAAAUCGACGUGUUAAUCCCUUGCUGUCCUCCAGGUGGAGUAGCAACGGCAUCAAUUACAGGAAUUUUCAGAACAUAUUCCCCCAAACCACCUGAGGGACGCGUUCCAACCUACACUGCUACAUACCGAUGUCACCUCGAAUCCAGGUUCAUAUUUCUUACGUCCAUCCUGGCAGAGCCCAUAAUACCAUGUGGUUGUACUCGAAGCUACUAAAUAGGAAACUAGUCCAGUCUCUGGAAACUAGUCCAGUCUCUGGUUACCCCGGGUGGCAUUCCUGGGUUGCAAUGCAGGCGUUCCCAUAGAAAUGGCGAGACGACUCAUAGAAAUGGACCUGACGUCGCAUAAUCUCCACUUCCUCCAAGCAGCCCACCCAUGACGGUUUAUUGAAUUACUUGUUUUGCCAUACACUAGGAAAAUCAUACUUUAAUUCAAUAACCUCACAUUGUGAUAAUACCACCCUCGUAUAUUAUCAUAGCAUAGCAUUUUACUACUACGAUGGCAAUUGGUGGUAAAGUCAUGGCAAAGGUAUCCUAUACUACUAGGAGAAUCAUAGCAUAGCAUAGAUAAAAUAAUAGUCCUAACAAUGCAACUAAUAAAAUCUAGUGCAUAAUAAAGUAAUAGGUGAAUGAUCAAAGUGAAGUUGCCUUGAUAGUAGUUGGUAUUCAAACACUCUUCACAAUCACACAGUUCGCUCUCCGAGAAAACUAAACAAUACAAACAAUGCAUAUAUAAACACACCAUACAAACAAAAGAAUAUGUAUGCCAUGAUGCAAUGCAAAACAUCUGACAAGAGUUUGGUUUAUUUUAUUUGGGUGAUCUACUGAUCCUAAGCAUAAGUAAUCAAAACAAAUGCAUUAGGGUUUUAAAUAGAAAGGCAAAGGUUAGGGUUUAAACCCUAAAAUAAGGUUUUAUUUGCAUCAGCCAAAUAAAUUAAUUCAAAAUAUUUGUUUCUCUGUCCCAUUGGACAGAGGAUAAUAAAAUAUAAAAAAAUCAUUCAAAAAGGACUUCUAAAUAAAUAGUUAUGAUUUAAAUGGUAUUAAACCCUAUUCUGUAAUUUGAAUGUGAUUCAAAUAUUCAAAUUUGAAAUUGGACAGUGCCAAAAGAUUCUGCAAUUCCUAAGGAUUCCAAAAAGGUGUGGAUUAUUAAAUUUGGCCAAACCGAUUAAAAGAUAUGAUCAUUUGAAGUUACGGGGGUUUUUCUGCAAAAGUGCCAUUUCUAGAUAUUCCGGGAAGUAAAAAUUAGGUUUUCGUUUUAUUUACGCAGUGACACGUGGCGGCUCCUGAUUGGCGCGUACCGGUUCGUUUAAGUGAAAUAAAAAGGAUCUAAUCUGGGCCGUUGAGGACGGAUGGACGGACGAGAUCUCACCUCCGGGAACCUAGGGUUCCGGCGAGCUUCUCCGGCAGCGGCGCGGCACGGGCGGGCGGUUCCAGCGGGGCUGGCGCGACGGGGAGGUCACGGGGAGGCGCGGCACGGCACGGGGAAUACGGUGAUGCGGUCGGCGCGGGGUCGAGCGGUCGGAGUCCUCGCCUAGGUCGAAGACGAGGCGGCGGCGCGGGCGGCGGAGCUCUGGCGAGCUUCGGGCUCGGGCGUCGGGGCGCUGCAGUGCACAAAAAUGAAGACGGCGUGCGUCAUGGUGCGCGCGACAGAGAGAGAAGAAGAGGGAGGGCGGCGGCGUCGAAGAUGGCUCACCGACGUGACGACGCGGGGCGAGAGACGGCGGCGGGCGGCGACGAUCUCCGGCGAGCAAUCGCGGUGGCGUGGUCGCGCGAUUGACUGGGGAAGCAAGGGGGAAGAAGAGAGGGGGUCGCGGGGUUUAAAUGGACGCGCUUGGCGCUUAAAAAGGAAGGACGGGACGAGGAGAUUGCGGCGGUGAGCGCGCGGCGGCGAAACCGUCAGGCGGCGCGUCAGACGUGGGCGCCUUCCAAACGACGAAGACGACCCUGACAGGCGGGCCCCACCUGUCAGCGGCUCGGUGCAGGCGCUCGCGUGGACCAGGCCGGUCGGUUCGGCUCGGGCGCGCGGAACGGGGCCGGUUCAGCCCAUUUUGGCCGGGCAGGUCCGGCUUUCUCUUCUUUUUUUCCUUUUAGCCCUUUUCUUUUUCUGUUUUUCUUAUUUCUUUGAUAUCUUUUGAUUUUGAACUCCAAAUUGGUCCAAAUAAAUUCCAGAAAAUUUGUAAACCCUAAGGUUUGAUACAACUUUUGGGAGUAAUUUCCCUUCAAAAAAAAAUACAUAAAAAUACAUUUGCCCUAUAAAUGCCUUUAGGGCUAUAUAACUAUUUAAAUAAAAUACUUUUUCAACUCCAAAUAAUUAUCCAAAAAUUAUGGGAUAGCUUAUAUAUGCAUUAAACCCCUUUUAUACAUAAAACCUAUUGGUUUGAAGAUCCAAAGCUCAAAUGGGUGUAAACCCUAAGGUUUAAAUUGAAAUAAAAACUUUUAAAGCCUUUUGAGAUUCAAAUUUGGAUUCAAAUAUGCAAUUGUGGCAUGAUGCUUAUGGAUGCAAUGCACAUGUAAGAAUUUGAAAUUUUUGGGAUGGUACACAUGGUCGCGACGACGGAAGUCGUGGUGGCCCCUUCGCUACCGGCCGUCCCAGAAGGAACCGAGGUGCACGAAACCAUCGUAGGCGGUCCCUCGACACUCACCAACGUGGUGGCAAGGAUCGGCGAGCUGCCUACGGUUGCCGCCCCUGCAGGGGAUACGGAACUCGGCAUGCCUCGCUUGAUGAGCUUCACGCCACCUUCCCUACAACCGAUAGUGACCUUACCCUCGGAACCUACAAGAGGAAACAAUGUGGCGUCGGGAAGAUCCGCGCCGGAAAACCAAGGAGUCCCGACCUACGACCCUCCAACUCGGGGUUGCCUCGGUUGGCGCCUGCCACGAUCGCUCAUGGAGCUCCUUGGUAUCAUCCCUAUUGGGGGCUUCCACCGUAAGGAACUCCCCGAGUCGCACACGCUCAGCAGCAACCUCGCUUUGCGAGUGCCCCUCAAGCGCCCCUCGCUCCCCCCGUCGGGGUCGAGCAAGGUGGCAACCAGGUACCGCCUCAAGCUGCGCCUCGCGGGGAACGAGACCCCGGCGUGCAUGGGAACGAGCAAGUGGCGGAGUCCGGAGCCCGUGCCAGCGGCGAAAGAAAUUCCCAUCGACGCUCUGACCCCCCAAGAAAACGCCGAGAUCAUUCUCCGAGCGACCCCUCUAGCGACGAAAGCGACGAGGGAGGAUCUCGCCACCGAAGGAACCCAAAGAAUCGGCCGACUUGCAAUCCACUCACGCGGGAGAUCCAAGACGCGCCUUUUCUGCCAAGGUUCAAGCCGCCUACAAUACGGCCGUACGACGGGGAAUCGAAUCCUCUUUAAUUCUUUGAUGUCUACUCCACCGCAAUACGGGCUGCCAGGGGAGGUCCCAUCGAGAUGUGCAACCUCUUUCCGCUCGCGCUCACCGGGAUGGCGCAAACUUGGUUUUAUAACGUGCGAAAGAAUUCCAUGCACUCGUGGCAGCGCCUCCAAGAGGUCUUCAUCGCCAACUUUCAAGGAAAUUUCAAAGAACCCGUGCAGGCUCACGAGCUAUACUCCGAAGCUUCUUCCAACGCUUUGCGAAGGUGCGAAGCCAAAUCGCCAACCCGACGUCGACCACCGUGAUCGACGCAUGCAUGCAAGGUCUUCUCCAAGGAGAAGUGAAUCGGGCCCUAAGUCGUAACCCACCAAAGACGACCGAGGAAUUCUAUCGAAUCUUCCAAGAAUACGCCUGGGGCGAAGACGGGGACAUCGCCAAAAAAGACGCGCCACGCCCCGCACCCGAAGGAGCUCCCUCGUCCGACAAACCCCCUGCGCCUACUUUGUCUUCCAAGAAGAAGACGAGGUGGGGGAAAAAGGCCCCCAGCGACGAAGCCAGGAAGAUCUUCGCCGUUGAAGGACAAGCACCAACCCAAAAGACUUGGCAACCCAAGAAGCCACCUCGCCCCGCCGAGGGAGGAACUGGGAGAUGCCUCAUCCACAACUCGGCAAGCCACGGCACCAAAGAGUGCAACACUCUCAUCGCGGCUCGUGAAGAGUUCCAGGCACGAAUGCAAGCCCGGCGCAAGGAUGAGAAGACAGCCGAGGCUCCAUGCCCCGCCAACGUCCUUGUCGCUGACCCAGCACCCAAGGAGGAUAACCUCCCGUUCCAGGAACCCGCGUAUCACGUCGGAGUGAUACUCGAGGGCUCCACGACGGGACGGGGAUCAAAGCGGCAACGCAAGGAGUAUGCUCGCGAAGUCAACGUCGUGGGAACCUUCACCCCGACACCACCUCCCAAGUGGGCGAGCGUGCCAAUUGCCUUCACCGAAGAAGACUCCAAGGGGAUACGCUUCCCACAUGACGAAGAUUCUUGUGGAUGGCGGAAGAUCCGCUGACAUCCUAUAUCUGAGCAAGUUAAAGAAGCUGAUGGAGCCACAAGGGGGAUACAAGAACGGCUCGCUGCAGCCAUCCCUUUAUCACCUCACCGGCUUCGUGCCGGGGAAAUCCAUUCAGCCACUCGGACAAAUUGAGCUCCUCACGACCUUUGGAGACGCCGCGCACCAUCGGACCGAGCUCAUGCGCUUCGACAUGGUGGAUAUGCAAGCCUCCUUUAACGCCAUCCUCGGGAGGACGACGCUCAACCAUCUUUGCGCCGCCGUCCACCACAACUUCUUGUGCAUGAAGAUCCCAGGCCCGAAGGGUGUGAUAACGGUCUGCGGUGAGCAAUCUUCCGAUAGAAAGACACUCUACUGCCAUGAGACCAAGUGCGCCGAAAAGGGAGAAUCAUCCAAGAGUAUAAACAUGCUUUCGAACACGGGAGCAUCCGAAACCAAUCCCCAGGAGCGCUACAUCCCUAAGCCCCUCACGGAAGGAGAACUCAAGGAAGUACGCGUCUCCCAAGAUGACGCCACACGCACGGUGAAGAUUGGAGCCGACCUCUCGAGUAAGCUUGAGGAAGAACUCGUCGACCUGCUUCGGAAGAAUUCCGACCUCUUCGCUUGGUCACCUUUCGACAUGUGAGGAGUCCCGCACGACGUCAUGGAAUAUCGCCUCGCCGUGAGACCCAACAAAGCUCCCGUAAAGCAAAAGCUUCGGAAGCUCGGUCAUCAAGCAAUAAAUCACCAAACUCUCCAACGCCGGUCUCAUCCGAGAAGUUUGGCACCGCGAGUGGUUAGCCAAUCUGGUCUUGGUAAAGAAAGCCAACGGCAAGUGGCGAAUGUGUGUCGACUUUACUGACUUGAACAAGGCGUGCCCCAAGGACGACUAUCCGCUCCCUCGGAUCGACCCACUGGUCGACUCCACGGGGGGAUGCGAAAGGUUGAGCUUCUUGGACGCCUAUUCAGGGUAUCACCAAGUCCACAUGGCCAAGGAAGACGAGGAAAAGACCGGCUUCAUCACUCCCAUCGGCACCUUCUGCUAUAGCAGAAUGCCUUUUGGUUUGAGGAACGCCGGCGCAACUUUCCAACGCCUCGUCAACCUCAUCCUCAAAGAACAAUUGGGGAGAAACGCCGAAGUCUACGUUGACGAUGCCGUCAUCAAAAGUCAAAUUGCGAAGACCCAUCCCAAGGACCUGCAAGAAACCUUCGACAAUCUCCGCAAAUACGGAGUGAAGCUCAAUCCGGAGAAGUGCGCAUUCGGAGUUCGAGGAGGAAAACUCUUGGGCUUCCUCGUCUCUCAAUGAGGGAUCGAGGCCAACCCGGAGAAAAUCCGGGCCAUCAUGGAGAUGGAGCCUCCUCGCUCCGUCAAAGAUGUGCAACACCUAGCGGGAAGAAUGGCGGCCUUGGGACGAUUCGUUGCCUGGUCAGCCGAGAAGGGUCUUCCUUUUGUCAAAGCCUUGAGAAAUGAGAAGCCUCGACAACUUUGAGUGAACCAAUGAAGCUCAAAGGGUCUUCGAAAAGCUCAAGACCUAUUUGUCGACCCCUCCGCUUCUCACGAGCCCAAAGCAGGGGGAGCCUCUCCUCCUGUUCCUUGCCGCGACCCCGGUCGCCGUAAGCGCAACACUCGUGAAGGAAGAAGACGGGUCACAACGCCCAGUAUAUUACGUGAGCGAAGCCUUGGGAGGAGCAAAGGGUCGAUACACCCAGAUCGAGAAGAUCGCAUACGCCCUCCUCAUGGCCACUCGAAAACUCCGUCAUUACUUCAUGGGCCACACCAUCAUGGUACCAACUACCUUCCCACUCAAGGAAGUCUUCGGCAAUAAGGACGCCACCGGAAGAAUCGCCAAAUGAGCCACGGAAUUGGCCCCCUUCUCGCUGGAACUCACGGCGAGAACAGCCAUAAAAUCUCAAGUCCUGGCUGACUUUGUGGCCGAGUGGCAUGCUCCACUGACCCCGCCCGAAGAAAUCGCAUCCAAGAUCGAGCCCCCCAAACCACAUUGGAUAAUGAGGUUCGAUGGCUCCAAUCGCCUCGACGGCGCCGGGGCCGUAGUCAUACUCAUCAGCCCCGAAGGCAAGAUCUUGGAGUACGCCGCCCAUCUUGAUUUCAACGCCACCAACAAUAUGGCGAAAUAUGAGGCGCUACUUCUCGGGGUUCAACUGCCAAGGCCAUGGGAGUCCGACGCCUUCUCAUCCAAGGAGACUCCCAACUGGUGAUAAACCAAAUGGACAAGUCAUAUCAAUGCCUUGAUGAAAGGAUGAAGAAAUAUAUCGAAGAAGUUCGCAAGAUGGAACGGUAUUUCAUAGGCAUGGAGGUGCGACGCAUUCCAUGAGGAGAAAAUCACCUGGCCGACAGGUUAGCCCGAACGGCUAGUUCCAAAGAACCGCUGCCACCCGGUGCAUUUUUCGAAGUAAUUCGCGCCCCAUCCAUAAAGGAAGAAGCCAACACCCUUGACGAAGCUUCAAAGACCAGCAUGGUCAUCGAUGCUACACCCUCUUGGAUGACACCGAUUAUCCAUGCCUUGAAAGGCGAGGUGGACGAAGAAGCAGAAGGCCCAAGCGCCAAAACUUGCUCGCAAAAGCCAAGAUGUACGUCCUCCUCGACGGCAUCCUAUACAAGAAAGGAGCGGCCGCAUUGCUCCUGACCAAGGAGCCGAGCUCCUCAUGGAAAUCCACUCAGGAAUAUGCGGCCACCAUCUUGCGCCAAGAGCCACCGCGGCAAAAGCCCUACGUCAGGGAUUCUAUUGGCCCACCAUGAUGCAACACGCAAUCACCAUAUUGCGGAAAUGCGAGGCUUGCCAGAAAAUGGCUAAGUCGAUCCAUGUGCCCGUGACUUACCUGAAGAACAUCCCCAUAACAUGGCCAUUUGCACGCUGGGAUGGACCUUCUCGGGCCUUUCCCCGCAUGCAAUGGGGGCUGCAAUUACUUCGUGGUGACGAUUGAUUACUUCUCCAAAUGGAUAGAAGCAGCGCCGCUUGCCAAGAUCACGUCACAGGCCGUCGAGAAUUUUUUCUGGAAAAACAUCAUAUGGCGUCUCGCGAGAGCUAACCAUGGAUAACGACAAACAGUUCGACUAUGCGGAAUUCAUCAAAUUCUGUGAAUGCCUUGAAAUCAAGCUGCACUUCGCAUCCGUAGCUUACCCCAAGAGCAAUGGCGCAUGCGAAAGGGCAAACGGACUAAUCCUCCAAGGACUCCGCCGAAGGAUAGAACACACGGUUAGCAAAGCAAGAGGAGCAUGGGGAGAUGAACUCGCUAGCGUGGUUUGGGGCAUACGCACCUCCGUAAGCCGUUCCACGGGCCGAACACCAUUCUCUUUGGUGUAUGGAGCCGAAGCAGUUCUUCCCGCCAAGGUCGAGUUCCGCUCACCUCGGAUCGAAAGGCUCCAAGAAGCCACCCCAAUUGCCUUCAUCGAAAAUGAAGAGCAUCACAAGAUGGCCGUCGAUCUCGUGGAAGAAGCUCGUGACAAAGCCCUCAUGAGGCACGCCGUCUACGAGCAAAGCGCCGCACGCUUCUACAACACAAGAGUGCGGGAACGAGCCUUCCUCCAGGGAGAUCUCAUGCUGAAAAAGAAUAUCGACCCAAAGCUCCAACGCAAACUCAACCCUAAAUGGGAAGGACCAUACCGCAUCGCCGCAGUAUUGGGAAAUGGUGCAUACCACCUCGAAAAUAUGAAAGGGCAAAGCCUUGUCCAUGCCUGGAACGGUGACAAGCUCCGGCGUUUCUACGUCUAAGGAGGACCUUCAAGGACAAUCCUUGCCGCCCCCGAAAGAAGACUAUCCGCGCCCAACCGGCCUUUUCCCUACGAAACUUCAAGGGAUCGUAAGCGCCAACGAGGCCGCGUCUACAUAAGGCUUGUAAGUGUCCAUCGGGCCAUACCUUAAGACAAGGAAGUAAGGAUCAAUAAAACAAGUCCUUGAGGAAAAAUUAAGAGUGACACAAGACACUCACACGACUCAUCGUCGUAAAAAGAGCUGUUGUCGCUGUGCCGCUCACCGAGCUACGCGGAAAGGCCUCUGUUGGCCCAAGCAUCCUCUAAAAAAUGUCCACGGACAUAGGUCGCUAUUAGUGACUUGUUCCUUGGUGGAUCCUAGCGUGCCUCGAGGCCAUCCGCCAAGUUGAACCAAGUCCCCCGAGAGCCGGAAGCUCCUUAAAACGCAUUUAAGGAGAACGUAAAUAAGCAAGUUAUGCAUGAGCUUACUUACCUCGGAGAACCGUGCUACCCGUAUGCGAGACGUCACGCACGGGCCUGCAUGAUAGUAACCGGGUUAAGGCUCCAUAAUAAUCGCGGGAAAGCAUAGCUUCCUGAAGUCCGAAGAAGGAAAAUUCCGCAUGAAAUUUCCCAAACGGCAGGUCGAAAUGUCCGGAUACCUACCCGCAUAUCGAUAGCAACCCUCACAAGGGUACUAGAACCCGUGGCUCGUAACCAUGGCCCAAGGCGCCGAAGCUGAGUCGUAUCCCAAUGGCGACGGCAAUUGAUGACACAAAAGUGCAAUCAUAGCGAAUGAUUGGGAGCUGUAUAAACUGAGGAAAUAUAGUACUUCAUAAGAAGGAAAUAUAGUACUCCCUGAAACACAUGUUGAGCCAAGUUAACAUUUCCGAUAAUGUCGACUACAUGGUGAAACAUGAGAAAUACAUGCUAAGCUAAGUUAACAUUUCCGACAAUGUUGACUACAUAGUGAAGCAUGAAACACAACAAAAAAGCUGCCUUACAAUCUCUACGACUAAGAGCCUAAACAUGCUAGCCAUGGGGGCUAAGUCAAGUGGAGAUAUGCAACAUCGCAUAAGUAAGCAGCUGAGGUACAUCACCACCUCCGAGGGCGACGAGGCUCACACCUCACCGUCACCCUCUGAAGAGCGGGCUCAAGGCAACGCACGAAGCGUCAAGCCUGAGCGGGAAGAGGAGCACCUUGAUCUGUCAGAAACUUCUUCGCCCCGUGAGACAUCUCUCCCUCGAGCCCACUCAUCCCGGCACCGCCGUCCAGGACUGCCGCAACCGCCGACGAAACAAGUUAGGCACCAGUACUCAGGAGGCACUUCUUCACGGUAGGCUCAAUGAGCUCCACCUGGGAAGUAAGCACCCUGCUCACCUCAUCCACCGUGCGACACGGAGGAAGAUCCGGCUGGGGAGCACUCCUCAAGCAAAUCAUCUUCUCCCGAAUCUCGGUGGCCUAAGCAAGUAAAAGCGAAACCACCUCAGGACGACGAUCCGGAGGAGGACGAACACGAGGAGCAAGCAUCGGGCCGUCACUCGCCGCCGCCAACUCCACCUUGAGGGAAGCAGCCUCCACGCGGGCAUGCUCCCUAUCAAGGUUGGUCACCACCAAGUCCUCCUCAACUCGACGGGUCCUCGCAAUCUCGUCCUUCUGGCACUCCUCAGCAAGACGAGCCCUGGUCUCCACAGCUGCAAGCUCCGCCAAAACGCGGGAAAGCUCAGCCUCCACGGCCUCGCGCCGCACCCUCUCCGAAGCCAACUCACUCAAGGCAAGGGUAGACUUGGACAUCUGCACGUCCAAGGCAGCAGAAAGUGCCCCCACCUGAGUCUUGAGGGCAGGAAGGGCACCCACGGCAUCGACCAAACCCCUCACCUGCAAGGAAGAAGGAGUUAGCACAAAGCUAAUCCGAAGGACAAUGGGAGAUACGUCACGGAUGCUCACCAGCUCCAGUGUCACGAAAGGGUCUCUCGCUCCAUCCUUGAUCGUUGGAAGUGCUCCGUCCCUCGCUUGAGUCGGGGGCUCGCCCUCAAGAACCCCGAGCUCCACGGCCCUCGCACCUAAAAACAAACCAAGGAGAUCAUAUCAAAAUCAUUCGGAAAAAGAAUGACGUGACCAAAAGAGAAGGGCACUCACCCGAGGUAGGAGCAUCCUCCUCGGGACGCUUGCGACCAAUGGAGAACACCUGGACGCCCGCACCGCUGGCUCCGGUCGACAACUCCACCACUGAGUCGCUCCGAAGCCGAAGCCCCGUCUCGCAAGUGAAAGCCUCAACCUCGUAACUUAAAGGAGGAAGAACUUGCUCAAGUCCAAUCUUCCCCUUCAUGUGCAGGUCCAAGGUCACCCUCAGAGAGGACCUCGACUCGCCCACGACAGGAUCCGCCGAAUCCGCCGGGGUAUAGUCAAGAGAAGGAGAAGGAGUCGGGGGAGCUUUCCUCUUGCAUCCACUCGAUGGACGAGGUAUCUUGGGGACCGGCGUGACAGGCACCGCCAAGCCUAGCAUCGCCGUUCCCGCCUUCGCCCUCCCGCAAGAGUCCCGCAACUUGGACCCCACCGCCAACAUCGACGGUGUGGCCAAGCGGGAGUAGCGAUCGCCCACUCGGAGAAGGCGACCAAGCUUCGGGUCCUGUCGCACCGGCACCAUCUUCCCGAAGUACUUCGCGAUGAUAUUGUGGCAUCCCCCCUCACUGAUCUUGGUCUCGUAGUCGCAGUGCUCCGGUCCGCCGUACGGACCUAUCGGCUGCGCGGCCCACAACGUUGCCCUCUCCUCGAAAAAAGUCGCUGAAAAAAGACAAGCCAAAAUUGUUGAGUACCUUCACAAGGCAAAACAAUCCAAGCGCAAAGGGGAGAUGAGUGACACUCACGUGCGGUGACGAGCUGUGGAGGACGGAAAGAUCGAGGGAUCCCAAUCUCGGACCUCGGACGGCUCCUCAUCAUGAAGUGCCCCGCCAUCACCAUCUCCUCCAUGAGGUCAUGAAAGCUCCUCUCGGCGGACACCUCCUUGAUCUUGGCCACCUUCCAAAGAUCGGCCGACUGAGGGUCGCCGGGGUGAGACACCUCCCUAAGGCCACCCGCCCCAGAGUUCCAAGGGAGAUCACCCGUGUGCCGAAGACGGGUCUUCGAGGCCCGAAAAAGAAACCACUGGUACUCCCACUUGACAAACAACCUCUCCGCGCUCUUCCCCGGCAUGAGCAGGAAGUCGUCCCCAAAACCGGAACGAAGCCUCGGGUUCACCGAACCAAAGGCGCUCAGAGCAAAGCCGUCCGGGGUGAGCAACUCCCUCACCUCCACGAUGAAGUAAAACAGCAGAAGCUUCAUUGAAGGCUCCUCGUGAAUCGCCGUCUCACACAGCCACCUGAAAACGUUCAACCUCACGAUCGUCGACGGGUGAAGCUGGGCCAACUCGAUGUCAUACGUCUCCAGGAACUCCAGCAAGAAGGGGUGAACAGGCACACACAGGCCGGCGUGGAACCAAGCCGAGAAUGCCACGAUGCAUCCCGGACGCCGCCGCUGGUCGAGCCUCACCUCCUCACCAUUGGGCAGGAUACCGUCCCCCUUGGGGAAGUAUCCCGCCUCCUCCAGCUGGGCAAGAUCCUCGGGGCUCAUCGACGAAUGGAGAAGGUGGUCGUGUGCCCAUCCUCCGCCGUCCACCGGCGCUGUCGGAACCAAGGGAGGGCCACCACGAGGGCAGAAGGAGACCUUCUUCUUCCGCGACGGUCGGUUCGCCGCAAGCUGCGCCGCGGAAGACCCCCUCGACGGCUCACCAACCGGGCGCUCGACAUCGUGUUCCGCCAUCUCACCUGCAAAAAGGAUCCACCAAGAAUUAGCUAAAUGUGAUAAAAAUCUGAAAGGAAUCGACAAAAAAAGGAAGGAGCCAAGCUCCUUGGGCCAAAAUCCUCCGCCCGCGCGGGGGAAGGGAAGGCCGAAGGCCCCCUGGCCGCCGACCCACUUGCCUUUCGGCCCACCUACACUCAGCAAAAAAAAAGAGAAGAGCAGCAGGGAAGCCACAGUCCUCACCCGUGGGGUAUUCGGUGAAAUGCCGGCGUGCCCCGCUCGCGCCCGCGCCUGCACACGCACCCUGCCGCGCUCAUGCCUGCACCGCGUCCGCGCCACAACACACCUCGCCGUUCUAGGCCACGCACGCUGGCCCGCGCCGCGUCGUGCCACGCGCACACUCGCACGGCGCGCCCCCCGCCACGCCGAGGCCGCAUCAAAGCCAUGCCCGCAUCCGCUGUGAGACCCCGAGACCGAAUUUAUGCAAUUUAGCCCCAAAUGCUAACUCGCGCAUAAAUUAAGCCCCAGUGUCUCGCUACGAUGAACACUUCAAAUCAUACACGCAAUGUGUUCACCGCAGGUUGGAACAAAAAUUAUAACAUUACAUCACUUCUAAGACACCAGAUUAAGUCAAGCUCAUACAUGGAGCAAAAUACCAAGUUAUUACAAAUCACGGACACAUGUCCACAACCAUCAUUACACCAGCGGAAGCAAAUUAGGCCCGAGUACGAACAAAUUACAAUUAUUGCCUAAGAGGCUGAAACCGAAAGGAGAGCCCCCCACAAGUUCAUAGAACCCUGCUCUGGAAUCUUCUGGCUAAGCGUCGAAGCUGUCGUCGUCGAACUCCACGAAGUAACCACUCACUUGUUCCUCCGGAAACUCUGGAGAAAACAACGUUGCAAAGCAACUGAGUACAAAGUACUCGCAAGACUUACGGGAGAUCUAAACUAGAUAUGCAACAAGUCUCAAAGGAUGGAUAAUAUGGUGGGGUUAUGCAGCAGCAGAAAUAUCUGAAGAGACACACUAAUGACAUCGUCUAAGUAGAGGAUGAGAAGCGUCUACUAAGUGAGGUGAUCCUCUAACAACUAACACCAAACAAACACAACCUCUUAUCACCCCCACAACCCCUUGUGAGGAAAUGAUCCACAUGCACUCACACUUAAGCAGUUUUAAGCAUAUCCAUGGUUAAGGCUAAUUACUACUCAUGUUUAGGAGAUUAAGUUAAUUAAUUGGUAUGAGUUCUCUAUGAUCAAAUAAUGACCAACCAAGUCGUCCAUGACCCCGGACACAGCUUUCCGAAAGAUUUAUCCCUGCAGGGUGUGCCAAUUUACCCGUACACGUCCGUCCAACCCUUGACGCCACUAGCAUGGAACACACGCAAAAGCAUGUGCCGGCAAGAUUGAGCGACAUGACGUCUCCAAGCCCCACAACUAAUCCAGGGAACCACCCGACUGAGUCUAAUCCGAAACGAGAGCCCGGCCGAAGCGUCAUACGGACUCAAGAGUUGCGUGGACAGCUGGUAGUGGUUCGGUGUCCGCAAAAUGACCACUCCAGACUAGUGCCGCAAUCUUAUAUGUAUGCAAAGUACCAACAAACCUCCAAACACAACACCAGUGUAUAUGCGAUAUGCCAAAUGGAACGCCCGAACUAUGUGGCCCCUGGAAGAGCUAUGAAACGAGUAUUAAGCCGAGGGGGAACCCAUAUAUUCUCCCACGAGCGGUUAGUGCGAAGUUUCUUGGGUCGACGAAAACGAGAACUCAGUCCUUAGGUCGGCGCCAAUGGAACAAAACACCAAUGCGUUAGCACGGCCUCCCAUCGUUGCCUUGUGCAGGUAAUAGCAGGUCACAGUUUAAUAAUUGCACUUAAAUACAGAUAGUAGCAUGUGGAUGUAGCAAUUGUAUAACCCCAAGUAAGGACACUAUACUAGCAAUCUAAGCAAACUUCUAAUGACCAACUAGGGCAAUAACAAACAUGUGACAUGGUAAUAGGAUAAGGAACAAGACAACAGGCAUUUGAGUAGAGCUGACUAAAACUAUGCAAUUCUAGAGGCAUCGUGACAAGAACCGAGAACGUAACUUAAUGCAAGAAUGAGAGAGAGGCAUUGGGUAUAAUCAACAAGUUCAAGGAAUGGCUACUUGCCUGGAUUCUCGGUCGCUGGGCACCGAGAGAGGGGAUGCGAAGAAGUGUGGGAACCCGGAUCGUCAGCGGAGUAAGUCGGAGUCGCUAUCGUAAAGAACGAAAUCACACAAUACGCAAAUAAGUAACCAUUCACAGGUGCCAUGCACAAUACAACAUGAGAUGGCAUGUGACAACACGAUGCAACAAUAUGCAAGUGAAAUGAUUCCAUUUAGCAACAAAGUCAACAAUUAGGUGAUUAGAACAUGGUAAACAGUACCUUUAAAAUACACAAAGGGCCUAACCAAGUAUUCUACUGUGUUCUACAAGUUACAGUGAUCAACUUUGAUGUUUACAACAAUUACAGAAGAGUUACCAAUUUUAAAUUAGAGACUAAACAAGUUCAUACUUUUGAAUUUCAAAUCUGGGACAGAUUUGAAAUUUGAAACCUCAAAAUGUAAUUCUAAUUAUACAGUUAAAUUCCUUGCAUUUUUCUGAUUCCAAAACAUAUAUGGUUUGCUCAAAUUGGAUAUAGCAUGCAUUUACUAGGAAUUAAACAAGAUUUGAAACAUUUCUGGAAUUUAAAAACAAAUGAAAACACACGGAGAACUAAAACUACGCGGGCGCAGCUAGCCAGUGCGGCUGAUAGCGGGCCCGGAAGGGCUGACUAGGCGAGGCGCGCUAAGUUGGCUGCUACGUGGUCAAUACAUUUGAAUGUAUUGGCAAGUUCACCUGGAAGUUAUAACAGAUCCUAUCAAGUAUAUGCAAUUGAGGUAUAGUGGGAUUUUGGCUUUAUGGCGUGGAAGCAAAACAUAGUUUGUCUUACUAGAAUUGAAUGUUACAAUAUUGUUAACUAAUGGACACGGGGUAGAAACACCCAUGCUCUUAUUAACCUAGAGCACAUUGAGUAGAAGCAUCAAGUGCCCCUACCCUGUUCAAACCAUUCAUUUUAUUUAAGAAGUUGGAAUGAGUGAGACUUUUCUUACAGUCCUAAUAUCUAGUUGCUCAUAAUUGUCCGUAACCGGGGACACGGCAAAGUACUUAGUUUGACACUCUCGAGAGGUUGUACACAAUCACCACAAGAAUUCGACGUGUUAAUCCCUUGCUGUCCUCCCAGGGGAGUAGCAAUGGCAUCGACUUCAAGAAUUUUCAGAACAUGUUUACCCAGACCACCUGAGGGACCCGCGCUCCCACCUACACAACUACCUCAGUACAAGCCCUCGGAUCUGGGUUCACAUUUCUUACUCCAUCCAGCCAGAGCCCAUUUAGCUUGUGGUUGUACUAGAAGCUACUAAACAGGAAACUAGUCCAGUCUCUGAUACCCCAGGUGGCAUUCCACAUUUGCGACGCAAGCGCUCCCUGAAUCCACGGAAGAGACGUCCAUGGACGAUCCAUCUCCGAAUCCACGGAGACUCGACUCAGAGGGACACAUAGAAAUGGACCUGACGUCGCAUAACAUCUCAAAAUCUCAAAGCAGUCCACCCAGGAUGGUUCAUUAGGGUUGUUUUGCCAAGUUUCCAAAAUCACUCCACAUCAUCAUUUCACAUUUGAUUGAGAUUCUCUCCCUCAUAUACUAACAUAGCAGGGCUAGCAAUUCUAAUCACGAUGGCUAUUGGUGGAGGAUUAAUGGCAAAGGUAACCCUAUAGCUAGUAGGUCAAUCAUAACUAGCAUAAGUACGAGUAAUAGUCCCAUCAAUGCAUUUCUACAAACAACUCUAAUGCAUAAGUAUUUUAAGAACAAACGGUAAUAGGAUACGAUCAAAGUGAACUUGCCUUGGUAGUAGUUGGAGUUCAAACACUCGUCACAAUCGCAAGGUUCGCUCUCCGAAAAUACUAUACAAUCAAACAAACAUACACACACAUAAACACACAAUUCAAACAUGACAAAAGAAUGUAUGCUAUGAUGCGAUGCAAACAUGUGACAUGAUUGGGUUUAUUUUAUUCGGGUCAUCUACUGAUCUUAAGCAUAAGUAAUUAAAACAAGUGCAUUAGGGUUUUAAAUAAAGGCAAAGGCUAGGGUUCAAACCCUAAAAUGAGGUUUUAUUGGAAUCAGCCAAAUAUUUAACUCAAAAUAUUUAUUUCUCUGUCCCAAUGGACAGAGGAUAAUAAAACAAAUUUUUGGGCACUGGUUUCAUUCAAAAAGGACUUCUAAAUAAAUAGUUAUGAUUUAAAUGGUAUUAAACCCUAUUCUGUAAUUUGAAUGUGAUUCAAAAUUUCAAAUUUCAAAUUGGACAGUGCCAAAAGAUUCUAAAUUUCCUAAGGAUUCCAAAAAGGUGUGGAUCAUUAAAUUUGGCCAAACAGAUUAAAAGAUAAGAUCAUUUGCAGUUACAGGGGCUUUUCUGCAAAAGUGCCAUUUAAUUAUUCCGGGGGAUUAAAAUUAGAUUUUUAUUUUAUAAAUCGGGUGCCACAUGGCGUUUUCUUAUUUGUCGGUACCGGUUCGGUUAAGUGAAUAAAAAUAGAUCUAAUCUACACCGUUGAUCUCGAUUGGACGGACGAGGGGAGGUCGGGAUCACCUAGGGUUCCGGCGAGCUUCUCCGGCGGCGGCGCGGCACGGGCGGCGGCGGCGCGGGGUGCUCCGGCGACGCGGGUGGCUCGGGGAUGGCCGGGGAUGGCGCGGUGCGGCACGGCGGAGAUGGGGGCGCGGUCGGCGCGGGGUCGGGCGGUAGGGGUCCUCGCCUAGGUCGAAGACGAGGCGGCGGCGCGGGCGGCGAACUCCAGCGAGCUUCGGGCGCGACGGGGGCGGUGCUGCGGUGCAUCGAAAAAGAAACGGGGGGCGUCAGUGGAUGCGCGAGAGAGAGAGGAAGACGAAGGAGCAAACGGCGACGAAGAUGGCUCAUCGAGCUCGUCAGCGUGACGCGAAGACGGCGACGGCGCGGGUGCGGCUCCGGCGAAGAAUUCCGGCGGCGUGGGCACGUGCGAGCGGGGGCGAGAAGAGGGAAAAAGAAGAGGGGCGCUCGGGCUUUAAACGGACGCGAGCGGCGAAGAUUGGGAAGGUCGGAAUCUCCGGAUUCCGGAGAUUGCAGCGGCGGGCAGUCCGGCGCGGACUCAGCGCCGGCUUUCUUAACGGGGAAGAAGGCCCUGACGCGUGGGUCCCACGCGUCAGCGGCAGCGGGCGUGCGCGCGCGGACUGGUCCGGUUCGGGCGCGGUCGGGCGGGCGGUUCGGCCGGUUCGCGGCUUAGCGGGCCGGCCCAGUGGGUCGGUCCGUUCUAUUUUUUUUUAGGCUUUUUUUUUCUGUUUUGUUAUUUCUUUGAUAACUUUUGAUUUUGAACUCCAAAUUGGUCCAAAUAAAUUCCAGAAAAUUUGUAAAAUCAUGUUUUACCAUGAUUCAACUUUUGGGAGUAGUUUCCCCUCAAAAUAAAAUAUAUAAAAAUACAUUUUCCCUAUAAAUGCCUUUAGGGCUAUAUAUCUAUUUAAAUAAAAUACUUUUUCAAGUCCAAAUAAUUAUCCAAAAAUUAUGGGAUAGCUUAUAUAUGCAAUAAACCACUUUUUAUACAUAAACCCUAUUGGUUUGAAAAUCCAAAGCUUAAAUGGGUGUAAACCCUAGGGUUCAAAUUGAAAUAGAGUCGUUUCAAAGCCUUUUGAGAUUCAAAUUUGAAUUCAAAUAUGCAAUAUGCUCAUGGAUGCAAUGCACAUGUAAAAGUUUGAAAUUUUAGGAUGUUACAUAAACGGAAGCGGCGCGCAAAGUUAUUCUAAGUGGCACAAAGACCACCACAUCAUCCUUAAGGAGAACGACGGCGUGGCGCGACGAGUAAGCUCGCCGGCGGCAACCGGGGCGCGUGCGCACAGCUACGAAGCUAUGGAGCACUAAAACGAGCGCGGAAAGGAGUGGGAGAGAGAGGAGCUCACCCUGAAUCCUCCGGAGGAAGCUGACGAGGAUUUGGUGGACGGGCUCGUCUGAAUUUGUCGGAGAAGAGGCGGCGGUCGGAGUUUGGGAAGACGAGCUAGGCGUCGACGUAGACGAUCCCAGCCAAAUUCCUUGCACGUGGACGAAGAGGAAGAAGCGGCGGAGCUCGUGACGCGGUCGGGGCGUCGUGGUUCGGCCGGAGGAGGCGGCGUGAUGCAGGGGCGUCCACGGCCCGAAAGAAGCGGCGGCGGCGGCGCAAGAAACGAGGAAGAGGAAACCCUAGCUAGGGUUUGCCUGGCGCUGGGAAAGGGAGGAGGCACGACGCAGCUUAAGUAGGGGCCCGGAGCUCUCCCUGUCGCUGUCGAGGGCGGACGUGGCGCGCGGGCUCCAUCGGCCAGGAGGAAGAAAGCAAAGGUGGAAGAAAGCCUGUGAGACAAGGCAUAUUUCCGGAGAAUGCGCUUUCGCUGUGGGGAAGCGGAACGCGGACGCUGCGCGAGGUUGCGGGGCCGAGCUAGGCUGCGGCGCGGCGGGAGAAGAUGGGCCGAGCUGGGCUGCGCGCGAAAUUGGGCCGAGGUAAGCAGGUAAGGUUCUUUUUCUUUUUCCUUUUCCUUUUCUGUUUCUCUCUCUUUGCAAAUAACUUUGGAUUCAAAAUUCACCAAUUUGAAAAGCUGAGGAAUAGGAGAGUUCAAAUAUAGUGCUAGUAUUUGAAAAUGUUCAAAUGGAUUUACAGAUUGAAAAAUCCAUUUGACUCUCUUUAAUAAAUUAUGGAAAAUUCAUAUUUGAAUCAUCUAGCAAAUUCAAACAACAAGAAUUCAAACCACAAGUUGAGAUGCAAAUUUAAAACUCAUGUGACACAAACAAAUAGACAUGGCAUGGCAUGGAUGCAAAUGUAAAAUGUUAUGCAACAAGAAAUAAAUUACAAACAGGUCCACACAAAGGGCUUAAUGUAAAUGUUGCUCUUGGGAUGUUACAUCCGCGCCGCGUCCUGAUGUGCGCACGACCGCACCGCUCCCUCGCUACACCAAGCCAAGGCCGCGCCCACACGGGACGCACCCACGCCCUUGCCGGAUCGCGACGCCCCGAGAGCAUUCGGCAAAAUGCCCGCAAGGGUUGCCAACCCAAAAACGCAUCAAGGACAGAGUCACAAAGCUUCCACCCACCUUGACACGAGCAAGAAGGGCAUGGACGAAGACGAGGAUCUCCCGGGAGGACUUGUAGGCACGAUCGACACCUCGCCCCGGGCGGCCUCAAACGUGCUCCGCGCCCCCACGACGACUCGAUGAUGGAGAGCUUCCGCGGCGGUUCUUCAGCGACCAACGCGACCUCCGUCGUCGCUAAGGAGUAGCUAAUGCCCCUGCGAAGCUCCCUACUACACCAAGCUCUCGAAGGAAUGCCGGGUGCCGCCGAACGCGUCUUCAACACCGGGCAAACCAAACAAGUGUGGUGUGAAGCUCCACAGUGCCCAAGGUCUCCAUUUUAUAGGCCAUCGGAGCCCCUAGGCGUCCGGGCCGGGCCAAUGGUGCGGCGACACCUCGCCGUCCUUCUCACCAAGGAACAAGACAAAGGGGAGGGAAGAAAUGGGAAGGGGAAGCGCCCCCUUUUCCCUAAAGGAGGUUGGCCUGGCCGAAGGAGGGCGCCCCGCGCUCGGGUCCUGCGUCCUCGCCGCGCCGGCGUCACCCCCGGUGACGAGCUCUGACUGCAAAAGGCGAAAGAGAAGGACCGUUCGGUCCCCUCCCGUACGAAGGUAGACGACGGCCCAGGGCCGUCCGAUCUAGGGCACACCCCUGCCUGUGGCCGUCAGAUCUUCAACUUAAAUCCCGAACCGGUAUCAAGGCCAACUGGGCCCCGGCCCAGUAAAAGCCCAAAGAAGCCGGCCUAAAAAAACUAAGGAAAGCCUCCCAGAGGAGGCCCAACUAGCGGCCCAGCUCGCGUCCGCGCGCGCACCAGGCCAGCCCGGAUGGCCCGUGCAGCUGGCUGAGUUCGAGGAAAUUUGCAAAAAGGCCCAAGACUUCGGAAGAAUUACCAAUAAGACCUCAGAAAUUUUGGGGAGGCCCGCGGGGCCCCUGAUUUUUGCAAAAAAGUCCUUCGGACACCGGAUUUCUCGCAGAGAGGCCCCUGGGGUCCCUUUUUUUUGCUAAAAUACCCCCCGAAACUCAAUUUCUCGCAGAGAAAAUCGCCGUAGGCAUGAAAUUUUCUCGAAACGCCUCUAAGGCUCAUGUUCUUUGCAGGAAAACCACCAAGUACCUCUGUUUCUCACAAGGAAACUCACUAGGGAAUCCAUCAAAGACACCAUCAUGAAUCCAAGAACGAGAAAAAGGAUCAAAAGUCUCGCAUCGAAGGUUGACCCGAAGGCAUUCUCAAUGCCUCCAGCUCAAGGGGGCUACUGUUGUAGUAAACUAAAACCCUUAUAUGGGCCGGGCCGUAAAUCCUAUGUGGCGACGACUAAGUCAACAUUUCCCAAGCAUGAGUCAAAACGCCCACGUGGCGCGGUGAAUCGUACGUGGCAAAGGAAGACAAGUCAACAAGUCAAGCCUCUCAUGCCAUGGUCAAAGGAUCAAAUGAACUAGAGUAGGGGGUAAGAAAGGUGUGAGGAGGGGGCCCUUAGUCCAUGGUGGACCAUGGACCAAACCCCACUUUUCUCACAUGGUGCACACAAAAGUUAUGAACCAAGGAGCUACUUUUACCAUUUUGCCCCCACUUUUCUCUCUCCCCAAGGAUAGCCAUGGUCUUUGUCAUGAACCCCUAGGCUAUAAAUACCCCCCAUGGAGGCAUGUACCACUCACUCUCACUUGAAUAAACUCAAGGGGAGAGGGUUAGAGUGCUCCCUCUAAGGUUCGCUCUCGCGCGCCGCUCUCGACUGAAAGUCGAUCGGCCUCGAGGAAGCCUUCUAGGGGACUCUAGUUUUGAGGCUCCGAGCUAAUCUUGGUUGGCACAGGCUCGAAGGAGAAGGGGUUGGGUUAGAGUUCCGAGAGUAUCCUAACCUCGAUACUUGGAAAGACGCAUUCUGUCCAAGUACGAGGCGGCCCCGACGAAUCUCUCGCUAAAAGGUGUCUUGGGAAGAUCCGCUCGGCCCAAGCCCUUGGCUAACAACCCCCUCGAAGCCUUUCCCAACAUAGGAUUAAGUCGCACCCGCAGGGUCGGCCGAACCUAUUCAAAAAAUAUCGACGUGUCAACUUGUCCAAGUAUACGGCGACCUUCGCUAUAAGGCCGGCGUACACGGCCUACUUUUAUACCCGCACUUGUGCCAUCGAGUAUUGACACCCCUUACUCUAAUUGGUGUCAAGAACGACAACACAACCAGAUGAUAUCCCGCGCGUUGCUGCGGAAUUAGUAUGUCAAACACUUAAGAAUGAUGAGAACUCUUAAAGAAUACAUAAAUGAUAAGAAAGGAAAAGUAAUUUGACCACUCCAUCAGAAUGUUUGUAAGCUCUCGCGAACCACAAUUGCAAAUGUGUAGUGAGAAAGAAGCUUGGAUGCCAAUUACACAAAUAAAUUAAGGAUACGUCCUUAAGUAACCGUCACACUUUUUGACAAUCCUAGAUUGUUGUUUUGCAAAUUACAAAAACAAAAUCAGAGCUGAGUAGGAAGCAUUUCAAGUCGAUGAAACAACUAUUGUAUUAUGUCAUUCAUGUGUCGUAAUGUUCCAAAAGAUUUUUUUUCAACAAAAUAGUUAUUUUCAACAAAAAAGUUCUGAUACAAUAAGAAUAUUAUUGGCUAUGCUAACUAUAUGAGCAAUGAAGCGCAUCAUUUUAUUAUUUCAUUAUCCACUAGUUGACAUCUAGAAUUUAGGGAGAGUCAUAUGUUCAUAUGGGAUCAACAACUCCAUUUGUUACGAAGCAUCUCACAUACAUGGUUCAUGGACCAUGCUGUAUAACCUUGAAAGGAACAUAACUUCUUGGCCAUGCAAGCACGCUCACAACGCAACUUGUAGAAACCCUCCCUAACUUUAAACGUAUAUAUAAACCAUGGCAUCAAUUUAACUAAACAUGAUUCCCGGAGUUCCCAACUUUUUAUAUAUUAUACAAAAUAGAAGUAGACCCAAAGAAAAUAAUUUACUUCUCUUGGAAUAACACUUGUACAACAAAAGAGAAAGGCAAAAUCUAAAUUAAACUUUAUGGGAUAACUAAUACCAUACAUACAAAUCAGUUUAUUAUGAAUAAUUUUUUUGCAUAUUGGUAUUGCUCCAGACCUUAGGAUAUAAUUUUAUCUACAACAAACAGCCAGGACCCUCUAAAUGUUUUACAGGACUUUUUGGUAGUUGUACAUAAGAAUACACCAUUUUUGGCAGACCGUUCGAGCACUUCUGAAAAUCUAACCAUAGUUUAGCAUGAAUAAAACUAUGGGCAUAAGACAUAUGGUAGUGUGUUUGGUACAUUUAUGACUGAAACAUGUUGCUGGCUGUAUGCAUCAGACUUGAGAAAAUAAUGCCAGCUUAAAAUAGUAGUUCUUAAGUUAGACCACUGGGGUGCUUCAAUGUUCAUCGAACAACUUGUCUACAGACUUUAGAAAAUAAAUGUGCACAAAGAACAGGUAAAGAAAUAACAAAAGUAUAGAUGUAAGCUUUUCUCAACAAAAUUAGUGGCAUGGAUCUGAAUGAACUGCGGCAGCAUAGAUAUAUUAUUAGUGUUUGUUAGAAAGCUGCGAUGAAAAGAUGGUCCGUGUUUUGUGGUAAUCAACCUGAAUACUGUCAUUUCUGAUUUCAGUAAAUGGAGACAUGGAUGGUUGUUGGAUUCAAUAAAAUCACUUAUGCCAAAUUAGCAACCUGGGAAAAAUGGCAACAUGUUUACACAGGAGAUAACUGAAUGCAUGUUGUAAAUCCAGCAACUGCACUUCUAAUCUGCAUCUAGCGUAGCUGGAUCUGUGCAAUUUUAUCCUCUGUUACUCGAUCAACUACUCAGCAGAGACAUGAAAAAUAAUUGACAGAUGUAGAAAAUAGUUUGGCGAUGAAGCAGUAAUACAAUAGUGGAAGAUUGAGAUUAGGGAAAAAUCUGGCCAACCUUGGUAUUGCGAGGUAACUGAAGUGGGCCGACAACGAUGGCUGCAGAUUCUUCCCGUCCAGCACGCGUAGUAGCAGCAGACCAUGAGAAGACGUUGGCAAGGGCCCCAAAUUCAUCCUGGCCAACGCGCUAUCCUUCUGAGAGCGAAACCUGCUGAAUCGUUAUCUUCUUCGAGCCACCCUGUUUUUUCAUGCCAUCAAUCCCCACCAUCCUCACCUCCCUCCUCGUUGCAGGAUUUAAAUGGUUUGAUUUGAAGAUGAAUGGUAAAUUAUCAGCCAUUACUUCAACCAAAACUUGAUGAAGACAAUAGUGUAUCGUGGUAAAUUAUCAGCCACUUGUCCAUUCAAAAUUGGGCACAAUAGCUUAAGUGACAAUUCACUGCCUUACCUUUUUUCUUCUCCAUCAAUAAUAGCCAGCAGAUUAGAGGCCAAACAAAAUGAUGAAACUCCAGCCCUCCAUGUACCAUAGUCAUAUAUAUCCUUCGCUCUUUGCAUACAGAAAGAAAUCAAAUAGCAUAAUAUCUGAAGGUAUAUAGCGUUUAGUGUGAGUAUUGUCACUUUUAACCGUAGUGUCUCCUUCCAUCUCUGUUAGACUGUUACUCUCUGUUACCUGUAUAUUUAUGUUGCCCUACAAUAUUUAUGAGAAAGUAUGGAACAUCAUAGGCCAACUUAAAUUAUAUUCAACAAACAAUGCAUAUGCUCAUCCAAUGCAAUCAGAUGGUACAUCAGUAACAACAGCAAAAGUAACAACAGAAAUUAUAGGUCAGAACCUUCUGUACCGUUGCAAGAAGGUUGUGCUGGAAAAUUUGACGCAUGCAAAAUCGAAUCGAAUCCUGGACCCUGUGUACCGAUACAACCUCCUCCUCCUAAUUCCAGUGGGCAACGCUGAGAACCAACGCAAACCCUGGGCCGACAAAACAUCAAACAGGUUGUAGGCAGAAGUCAAUAUCAGAUAUUUAGAAACAUCAGAUUGAAAUAUAUGAACUUGGGGACUUAAAGAAAAAAAAAGGACCAAAGAGCAGGAGAGGUCACCUACCUGAGCGAAGGCCGGUCGAGUGAGAGCGCGACUCGAGCAGGUAGUAUAGACAGGGGUCCGCAGGUUAGGGUCGCGCCGCGAGGGCGUGCAUACGCCCCAUCACCUUCUUGGGCUUGGGAGGGCGGGGAGUGGGGCCUGGUUGGGCGACGGCAGGGAGGCAGGAGGGUCCGGGUCAGGCGGCGGCAGGGACUCGGGUGCAGCGGACGAAGGCAGGAGGUGAGAGAGGCGGGGGGCGGCGUGGCAUCAGUGGAUGGCGGAGGCGGGCUGGUCCUUCUCUCUCCUUUUUAUGGUCGCAAGUGCAGGGAAGGAGAGGAAGCGGAGAGGGUGCCGUCGGGAUUGAAGCAUAGGAAGGAGAAGGGGAAUAGCUGUACUCAAAUGCGCCCAGGAAGUUGA
rnacentral:lncRNA from 1 species